GCAGCUUAAUUCUGCAGCGAAUCUCCACCGUCCGAUCUUAAUCAUCCUCCGACGAUGCCGAUCCGGAACAUUGCCGUUGGCCGACCCGAGGAGGCGUACCACCCGGACGCCUUGAGGGCGGGUCUCGCCGAGUUCAUUUCCACGCUGAUCUUCGUCUUCGCCGGCGAGGGCUCCGGCAUGGCCUUCGCCAAGCUCACCCACGGGGCCGCGACCACGCCAGCAGGCCUCGUCGCCGCCGCUCUAGCCCACGGAUUCGGCCUCUUCGUCGCCGUCUCCGUCAGUGCGAACAUCUCCGGCGGACACGUCAACCCCGCGGUCACUUUCGGCGCCUUCGUCGGCGGCAAUAUCUCCCUCCUCCGCGGCAUCCUCUAUUGGAUCGCCCAGCUCCUCGGGUCCGCCGUCGCGUGCGGUCUCCUCAGGUUCGCAACCAACUACCAGGUAAUUUUAUCACUUUCUGGCCCUUUUUGAACUAUAAGUUUCUCGUUAAGUUCGUUAAUAUAUCAUUUUAUAUUAAAAGUGUGACUAACGGGUCUUGAUUAUGUGCUUCGCAGACUACCUCAGCAUUUGCUCUCUCCGAGGGGGUUGGGGUAUGGAACGCGUUCGUUUUCGAGAUCGUGAUGACGUUUGGGUUGGUGUACACGGUGUACGCCACAGCCAUUGACCCGAAGAGAGGCAGCGUGGGAACAAUCGCGCCGAUCGCGAUCGGUUUCGUAGUUGGCGCGAACAUUUUGGCGGGUGGGGCUUUCGAUGGAGCAUCCAUGAACCCGGCCGUUUCAUUCGGGCCGGCUUUGGUGAGCUGGAACUGGCACAACCACUGGAUCUACUGGGCCGGGCCUUUGAUCGGCGGUGGGCUUGCUGGGCUUAUUUACGAGUUCGUCUUCAUCGGCAACUCUAGCCACGAGCCACUCCCGACCGCUGAUUACUAAUUAAUUAAGCUUUAAUUAAGCCCUAAUUAAGAUUCAAUCAAAUGAUAUGCAUGCAUGAUGAAUCUUCACUUGUUUUUAUGAGGGUUUUGUACCUUUGAAUUCUUGUGUUUUAUUUCAUCAAGAAAGAUCAUGAUCGUUCAUCAUGAGUUCGUUGCCACCGUUGAUUGUAUUUGUUUCGCGAUUUGCAUGCUCCGGUUGUAUGAUUAAUUUAAUUUAUCCUUUUUUAUUAUUAUAAAUUUUCUGUAAUUUAUUUCUUGAAGAUACUCUUCUUCUCACUUCUUUUUACUGUUUUUAAUUUGGACCUACGCGGCCACGCGUCAUAUGAUAGAGAUAGGGUUGGGUUGGAUUAAACAGUUAAAUCUAGAAUGUGCUUGAUUUUGGUAGUUUUUACCUACCCCCUAAAGUGAAUAACUACUGUUCCUGCAUGUGAUUGAUUUGGCCCUGCCGACACCAACCAUUCGCCAAUAGUAGUAGUAGUUAAUCGGGGGAAGAUACAUGCAUGGGUAAUGUUAAGAAUCAUAAUUUUAGACCAGCAAUAAAUUACGUAUAUCAUGUCACACUAAAUAUUUUGAAUAAUGAAUAAUGAGGACAUUCUUUUUUAUAAACGUUGGAUUUGAAUUUAGAAUUUCUUUCAAUGUUUUAGUCGGUAACUAAGUAGGUUGCUGAUAUGUAUCAUUAUCACGUGCUGGAUAAUAUGAUUAAUUACUUACAAUACAAUCUAAUGAUUUGUUUAGAAGAUUAAUUUCCUCGUCCAUGAAGUUACUAAUUAGAAGUAAUUAAACCAAGCUAGCUAAAAUAAAAUACUCUGGUAGAGAACUAUUUGACAUGUGACUACUAGGAGCCUAUAUGACACACAUAAAUGCAAAUAUAUAAAUGCAAAUAUUAUAGGCAAUAUUAUUAUUAUUUAUGCAUGCGUAUUCAAUCAUGUGGUGUGGGUCUUGGAAAAGGAAUUUUGAAAUUGAUUGAUUUCAAUAUGUUUUUGGGUGGUUGGGUUUUCAUGUGAAGAGCACGAGAGGUGUGUGUUUCACGUUGAAAGACUGCUAGAAGAAGAGCCCAGACUACCCAUAUGAAAUGAAUGUGAUCAACUUAAAUAUUAGAGGAAUGGCAUGACCUACUUUCAUUUCAUAGAGAUUCCUCCUCGUCGUCAUCAUCAUCUCGUUCUCAUUCAUGAAAAAAGAAAAAAAGAAGAUGAAGAGCACAUGAUAAUUUUCUGGACCAUACUUUUGUAUCUUGUCCUUUUUAAUCUGCAUCUUUUGGCCACCUUCGUGGCCCGGUGCUAUCGUUUUCAAACCCGAAAGCUGCCCCGCUCUCUCUCUCUCUCUCUCGUAAAUGUUCUGGUUCUCACUGUGCAAACAUUGGCCAAGACGUGGUUUCAAGCGGACCGCACAACUUGCAAUGCUACCUUUCAAUUUCAUAGGAUCUUCUAAAGAAGAUUUGGGGUCCCAUGGCUCACCGUCCAUUCUGGUUUUCUAAUUUAUUAUCACACGGUUUAUAAAUAGUUUUUACUUUUCAAAUGGUAAUGUUGAUUUCUUGCCAAACUUUAUGUUACCACACAAAUAUUUAUAUGCAUAUUGACAGACUAAGAAUCCGAAUCGCGCAUUAUCAAAUAAAAAUUAAUAUGAUCAAUAUCAAAACUCACGUCACACAUUUAAAUAAGAACCAACAUGAUUAAUGAUCGAGAUUGAUAUUCUCAUGUUGUGUAAACGAGUGAAGAAGAAACUCACUGAAGCACACAAUACAAUAUUAGUGAAACUUUGCAGUGGAGUGAUUGAUUGACGACACAAAGCUGGUGGAAAGUAAUUUUUUUUUUAUUCUGACCCAAAUGAAGCCUUUGGCUCUUAGCCAGUUAUGUCGAACCAGUUGCAACUGGAGACUGCACCAUGGCUUGGCUUCUCACGUCGUUUUGACGUGACCUGUCCCUACCCAGUUUGCUAGAAUUAUUAACAAAACGUGAGAGAAGUUUGGCAGAGGUUGGGGAUGAUGAUGAUAAUGAACAAAUGUCUGUUUGUGUGUAGAACCGAAUACGGCCUUCAUUUCUUGCUCUCAGAAUACAAUAAUACUAGAGAAUUUGAAAUAUUGAAAUAUUGAGGGACUUUAUAUGAUUAAGGAAGCUGUCUGGAGUACUGAGUAUAAUGGUUUGUGAUAGGUGCCUGAGUUGUUAUGGUGGGAAAAUUAUUGUGGGGGCAACAACAAUUUAAAUUAUUCUAGUGUUCUGUUUUUUUUUUUUAAAGUUAGAAAAGGGAUGGGGAAAAACUCACACACACGAGUACUGUAGGGGUAACGCUUGAGUCAAUCCAACACACACCCCAUAAGUGCUAUAUAUCAUAGUUUAACCAAUUAAAAUAAAAACUAGACAGAUGACAUGUUUACUUAUUUAAAUUAUACAUGGGUAUUACGAGACUUUCACAUUAAAAUUCAUAAUUUAAUAUCCAUAAAACCAUGAAUUAAAUUGACUAGGAGAGAAUGGUCGAUUGGAGAGGUGGAGCCACUCAUGGGCUAGUAGUGACCCUGCCCCUUGCCCCUUGCCCCUUGCCCCCGAAAAUAUUGCUAGAAAACUCUCAUAUUUACAUAAUCGGCCCCUCUAAACAUGUGUAUGGAUGUGAAAUUUGUUAAACUUGUGUAAAAAUCAAUCCAACUACAGCUUGUUAUUUAUAUUUUGGCUCCCCAAAAUUUAAAAUCUUAGCUCCUUAGCUCCGGCCAUGCACGAUCCCCGACCUAUUCAUUGUCCUUUCUACUUUCCCACUUCAUGAGAUGACUUCCCAUAUUCCGAGUAAGUAAACAUGCCAUAAAUGCAAAUAGUCGCCAACCUACAGCUCGAGAGUGCAAGGCGAGAUCAAGAUUCGAGCUGUAGUCCGAAUGUGGGACUUAGGACUCAAGUCCAAAGCUUGGAUUAUGGGCCUGUGGUCUUAGACCUCUGAGCUCGGACCAGGCCACCAAUGAUUCUUGUUUCCUCGCUCAGAAUCUGAUGAACAUUGGUUGAAAGUGCCACUCUAAAAAUGGGCUAGGCUCUUCCAAUAACUGCAAGAGCAGAGGGGUGCCUCCAAACUCAGAUAGGCCCAAAUGAAUUAUUGUUGGGUUGGGUUGCUAUCACGUGGCCACGCAAGCAUAGACUUGAUAACGCUCACGUCAUUAACCACGUGGAUAUAUACAAAUGUCCUGAACCCCAAAGUUAGCCGACACGUCGUCAAACAACACCGCUGUUUUCUAAAAAAGCGUUUUUCUAAAUUCUAAAUACUGUGUGCCUGCCAAACGACAAACAGCAUGUUGAUUUCGGGACCAGGCGUUUUCCAUAUCCGGAGACCCGCGUCAGCAGAGCCCAACAAACCUAUCCUAUCCGAAUCCAAUACGACUCUCAUUAUUUCCAUGAACACAUAAAAAUAUCCCAAAAAGAGUAAUUUUCUCUGCCUAAAAUGCCCUCCUAAGAGCAACUCCACCCAUUUGCCCUUAGCCAUGGCAAGGGGGGAGCUAGGGCAGCCACUAUUCACGUGAAUAGUGGUUGCCCUUGCAAAUAGUAUUUUGAGUUUCCACCCAUUGCCAUGGCUAAGGGCAAUUACUAUUCAUUUUUUUGUUUUUUCACAACUUUUUUUUACUUAAAUAAUUAAUUUGGAUAAUAUUUUCGGAUAAGAUUUUUGGGUUCCUACGUGUCAAUACUAUUCAUAUCGGAUAAGAUUUUAUUUUAUUAGUUGUAUUGGUUGGUAUUCAUUUAAAAAAAAAAAUUAGGAUUUGGUGUUAAAAGUGAAGAGUAUUGGUUGGUAUUUAUAGACACGGGCGGACCCAUAAUUUUUUUAGCGGAGGUGCAAUAUUGGCUAAGUAUGAAAAAUGGUUUUUCGGAAUAAUUAUUUUCUCAAGAUAAUUUUUGGCGGCUUUUAUUCCUUACACAUCAAAUAAGAAAACUUGAUUUUAUGGGAUUUUAAUAUGAAGUAUAUAUUGACUUAAUGAGCCAUCAUUUUUAGCCUAAAUCGUAUUUUGCACUAAAACCGAUUUUUCAUAUUUUGAUUUGGUGGGAAUUUGAUUUUCUAGUAUUUUUAUUUGAAUCCAAAUGGGGGGUACUUCCUUAUUUACAUUGUAAACUUAAGUAAAUGGAGUAAUAUAAAAAUAAAUUAAAGUAAAAGGACAAAGACAUUUACUUAAAUGUUGAAAAUGGAAAUAAGGUAUAGAGGAAAAUGUUGAGUAAAGAGUGAAUAAUAGUAGAAGUAUAAUGAAAUGUAUGAGGAUUGGUGUUGAAAGUGAAGGGUAUUGAUAGGUAUUUAUAGAAAAAAAAUAUCAGAAUUUUUUAGAAUUUUUUAAAAAUAUUUACGAUUUUUUUUCAUAUUUUUAUUGCCCAAAAAAGCCUCAGCCGUUGGAUUAAUUUGGAGAAGCAGAUCGGAAGGCUGGGGAGGCGACACGUGGCAGCGUACCUUGGACCUGGCGCGCUGACGUCAGCGUGACGCGAGGCUGACGUCAGCAACACGCGAGUUGGACCUCGGGCUGGUCUCGCCUUCGGGCUGGCCCGAGUUGGUGGGUCCCACACCACCCCCGGGCCUGGGCUGUACGCUGGAGCGACUUUUUUUUUUUUUCCUGCCCUCGCCUCGGGCUGGGCUCCCUCGCUGGAGCUGCUCUAAUUUUGCCUUGUACAACUAACUCACUCAGUUCAACUCGUAAAAUCACACACCUCCUUUCCAUUCCCGCCAACCCAUUUAGACCUGCACAACCAUUACUCAUGUAACAAAUCUUUUCCGUCUUUGAUGUGAAUUAAGUCAGUUAAUUAAGAUAAUAUAUCCGUCUCGUUACAUUUGAAUUUGAUUUUCCUUUUCAUUGAAAAUGAAAAAGCUUCUUCACAAUUAUGAAAAUCCCAAUCUCUUCAACCACCCCCUCACACCCGAACACCCAAACGACGGCGUAUUGGGGUCCCUUGGAAGCCAAAUAAUUGAAAGAUAUCAACUUCGAAAUCAUAUGAUUAGGACCCCUAAUCAGUUGGGUACAAUUAUUACAUUUAUUUAGGAUUAGAUUAGACCGGCAAACGCUGGUGUGUCGCCUCGUCAGCACUUUCAUUAUUCCCGCAAAGGAAAUAUCAAUCCAGUUGAUAAAAGCAUCUCAUUUUCUCAGGGGGCUUUCGUCAGUUUUGUUGCUUACUUGAAAACUUGAAAGCAUUGCAUAGGUAGGCCUUUGGCCUUCCUCUCUCUCCUUUUAUCUUCGCCAUUUUCACAAUUUUCUUCAAGCUUCAAUCUUUUUCUUCCGGGUAUCAUAGUAGUUAAGUAGCAUUUGAGAAUGGAGAGCGGAUCCGAGACCCAGAUGGAUUUGAACAACAACACUUCUCAUCAGAAUGAUCACUCUAUCAUGGAGAUGGGAUCUGGGAAUUUCGGGUAUUCAUCUAUAAAUUUGUUUUUGUUAAAAAAGAAUUGAUUUUUUUGAGCUGAAGUUUUGAUUUUUGUUGUUGCGGGUAAAUGAAUUUAAAGGUGCGCCCAUUAUAGACGGAGGUGCAAGAUCAGAGCACCUUGCUGUGAUGAGAUAUUCGAUUGCAGGCAUUGCCAUAACGAAUCCAAGGUCAGUUUUUUUUUUGGAAUGGUUUUUGUUUUAACUUUGAUUAAUAUUGAUAAGCAUGUUAUAAUUUGGGUGUCUUUGUUUUUGGAGCAGAAUACAUUGGAAGUUGAUCCUCUUGAUCGCCAUGACGUUCCUCGCCAUGAUGUGAAAAGGGUUAGUUGCUUUUACUGUCUCUGAUUCAUAGCAGCUUAGUUUUAAAAAAGGAAUGGGAAAUGGAAUUAGAAACUGUGGCCUUUUUAUUUUUCAAGUAGAUUUGAUUUUAUCCGGAUUUUGCUGGAUAUGAAUUUAAUUUUAUUUACUUUCCAUUUAUAUCUCCUUGUGCUGUCUGAGCGUUAAAGGGUUCACAUCAAAAGAUCUGAACUUUAUGGAUAAGGUUCAGAGCAUCUAUCUUUUGUUUCUCUAUGGACUGUUGAUUACUUGCACAUAUUAUGCCAACUUGAAAUAGUCAUUUUCUUUUCUUUCCUUUUAUUUUCUCCCCUCUUCCUACCCUUAUCAUUUUAAGUUUAUGUUGAAUAAUUAAAAAGUUUCACUUUGUUUGCCUUGUAUGGUUCAGGUCAUCUGCUCCUUGUGCAACACAGAACAAGAUGUAAGCCUUCUUGCAGAAAACUCUGAUGAUUGUAUUAUUAAUUAUAAAUUGAAGGAUGAGGUUAAUGACUUCUCUAGUUCUGAUAUCCUUUCAGGUUCAACAGCACUGUAUCCAAUGCGGCGUUUGCAUGGGGAACUAUUUUUGCUCCAAAUGCAAGUUCUUUGAUGAUGAUGUAAGCCUCUGAGUUCUUACCUAAUAAAAAAAGGGAGCUUCUUAAGUUCAUAUCCUCAUAAAUAUGAAACCCUGUUUCAAAUGCACUUUUUCUUAUUCUAAAAUUGGUAGGUUUCGAAAAAAACAGUUCCUUUGUGAUGAAUGUGUUAUUAGAAAUUCACUUUUUCUUAUUCUAAAAUUUGUAGGUUUCGAAAAAUCAGUACCAUUGUGACGAAUGCGGUAUCUGCAGGUUAGACACUUUUCUGCACGUUUUUGUUGUUCCCUUCAGUUGUUUGUCUUUUCGUUGUUUUUAAAUUUUCUUUUAAUAAAUACGCGUUACAUUUCAUUAUCUUAUGUCAGUAAAGCUUCUUCAUUGAUAAAACAUUCGCACGUGUCUAAGUUUGUUUUAAUUGGUAUUACAGAACCGGAGGCGAGCAGAAUUUUUUCCACUGUAACAAAUGUGGUAAGAUGUUAACCCUGUUUUUUCAUUAAUUUUUCAUCGUUUUAAUCAUUUUUUAUUUAUAAUAGUCUAAAUUGGAAUAUCUCUAUCUGGUUUUAGAAUGUUGUUACUCAAAAGUGUUGAAGGAUUCACACAAUUGUGUGGAGAAAGCAAUGCAUCAUAAUUGCCCUGUGUGCUUUGAGGUAAAGUUUGGAGUUUGCUAUGCCCAAGUAUUAUCCUGUUUUCUGCUUUAUGGUGCACCAACUCACAUCGGUUACUUGUGCAGUUUCUUUUCGACACAAGGGCAGACAUUACUGUCUUGCUAUGUGGACACACUAUACAUUUGGAAUGUGUUAAAGAGAUGGAGCGACAUUGCCAGUAAUUCCUUUUUUCUUCACUCUCUCUCUCUCUCCCUCUCUCUCUCUCUCUCUCUCUCUCUCUCUCUCUCUCUCUCUCUCUCUCUCUCUCUCUCUCUCUCUAUAUAUAUAUAUAUAUAUAUAUACAUACAUACAUAUACAUAUAAAAAGAUUAUCUGAUAUAAAUCGUUAGUAGUAAAUGUAAUGAAGAUAUAAAUCGUUAGUAUAAAGAGUAAUGAAACAAUAGCCCCAUAGUAAUUGUAUACAACUUUGCAGGUAUUCAUGCCCGGUUUGCUCAAAAUCAUAUCGCGAUAUGUCCCGUGUGUGGGAAAAACUUGAUCAGGAGGUAAAUCUAUGAUUCGAUGAUUCAAUGUAACGAUAUGAGUCACAUGACUGCCUGUCAUUUCUAGUUUACUAAUCGCUUUCAAAUUAAAUAUCAGAUUGCUGCAACUCCCAUGCCUCAAAUGUAUCAAAAUAAGAUGGUAAGUAUACAUAUAUGAUUACUAUCUUUGAUUUCUCCAACUAUUGGGUAAUUAAAUUCCGCAUACACUUUUUGUAUGGUUAGGUUUGGAUCCUCUGCAAUGAUUGCGGGCAAACAUCAGAGGUAAAUUUCCACAUUGUAGCACGUAAGUGCCUGAAAUGCAACUCCUACAAUACAAGGCAAACACAAGGAGGGCCAGCCUCAUGCUCAUCAAGGAUUACAGAUAUGGUGAGAUGAAUGACUUCAAUACAUCAAAAUUUGUGAUGUAUUACUUCCGAAAUUGUAUUACAAAAGGAAGCUUUAGUUGUGGCAAAGGAGGGAAAAUUAGUAGUGCCAGUCCCUUUACUAGUUUCUUUGUAGGUUUAAUUGUGCAAAACAUUGGCUCAUAUUUGAGCCAAUUUCUAUAUGCCAGUGGGUAGGGUCAGCAGGUUGUAUUUGAAAGUACGGGAAAACAUUGUAUGAAGCUUCAUCAAUGGAAAAUGUUUCAACAUAUAACAAAGAUAUCAUGAUAUCAAUUUGUAAUUCAAUUGCAAAUAGGUUUGCAACUUCAAAAGUACAUAUAAAUUGAAUGAAGAGACAAUGAAUUAGAGUGGAGCAAAACUGAAGACAAUCACUGACUUCCUGAGAUAGACUUGCCCACACAGCUUCUGAAGUUCAUAUAGAACUUUUCAAGAUGGGUAUCUUAAUCAACAUUGUGCAAGGACUAAUUAGUACACCGGAAAUGUGAAUUUCUUUUUCUUUUCCAAUCACGGAGGUCGUUAGUUUUUGAAAUUGACAAACGUUGAACCGUGGAGCUUGACCUCCCGGCCAUUGAGAGGUUGUACUGGUCUUGCAUUCAUCUCUGCAAACUGCAUUCAUGUUGAUCAACAUAAGGAGUUAAUAUGUGCUCCAGAUACUAUCAUUUCAAAGUUAAAUCAGAAGAACUCACUUCAGAAAGAUGGGUAGGUUACUUACAUCGAAAACGGCUUGUUGAAGCAACUUCACUUGUGCUAUUGAAACAGUAUGUACCUGAGGACAGUUUUUAAUUAGGGCAACUUCACUUGUGAUAUUGAACCAACAUGUGAAUUUACAGGAGUUGGAAAAAAUUUCCGGGCUGAUGAAGUUGGCUGUACCUGUUUGUUUAUGGUCCAAGUUACUCCUUCACUGCAAGGAGGGGUUGUGAAUGAUCCACUGUAUCUGUAAAAUUUCGAGCUAGCCUUUUUCAUCUUCCUCUUUUUCGGGUCCUGAAACCCGAGCUUAGCCUUCUUCAUCUUCCGAGGAUCAAUCACUCCCAGUUGUACCUCCUUCUCUACAUCCAUCAUCGACGCUAUCGCCUUUUUGACCUGAAAGUAGAAAUAACACCAUUGAUCUCCUAUAUCUGUCUUCCCUAAUUGAACCAAAACAAGUUUUUACCACAAAAAAUUUAAUGCUUGUUCUGACCUUUGAGAUGAAAGGAUUUGGUUGGCCAAUUUUGUAGAGGAAGCCAACCACAGCUACAUCACUGUUGUUCUUGGCUCUGUGAACCAUGUGCAAUUCCACAUCAUACCUUUUGCCAUUAAUGGAAUGCUCUGAGGGGGAGUGCCAAUGGCAUUGUCUGAGGUUGUAUUCUUUGCCAUUGAUACUGAUUGAUCCAGCAUCACCGUCCCAUAUAACCUGCGUCAAAUUUACAAGCAGUCGAAAAUCAUGCCUUCAUUAUUGUUCAUAAAACAAGUUAAACAAGAUUUUCACUUUCUUACCGCGAUAGCAUGACCUUCAUUCUUCAUAAUGGCUUUUGUAGGCUUAUAACUGAUUUUAAAAUGCUCUAAACUUGAGUUCACUUUGGUGGCAAUCCCAUCCCUUAAAUCUAUGGGUGAUUGGCCUUUCCCAUUCUUGCAUGUCAUCCAUUCUUUCUUAAGGUCUCCCCAGCGCUCUGGUCCUUUCUUGCUCCCUGCCUUGUAUUCAAAUUCUAUUUUAUGCCCUGCACCUAAAAACCCAAAUUCAGCAAAUUAUGAUGAAGAAGAAGAAUAAGAAGAAGAAGAAGAAGGAUGCAAGUUUCUAUAUAUUUAUGUAUUUGGCAUUACCAGAAACUUCAGCUCCAGUUGGUGUUGGGUCCAAGCACAGAAGAAAAAAUGUAAAAAAAAUGAACACAAGAUGGAUUUGCUUUGAGCCAGCCAUCUUUCACAGCCAAUUAUUGCAGCUAGGAUGCAAAUGGUUAUACCCAACAGGAUGGAUGCCUCCGGCUCCUGUUAGGUAUUUUAUAUAGCAAUGUUCAAUUCCUUGAUCAAUGUGUAUGAGAUAUCAAUCACUUUUAUGCAAUUCUAAUUAGCCUUUCUUGGCAUUGCAAUCCUUCUACAUUUUGGGGUAAUUAUACCAUUUUUUCAUGGAAAGUUUGGAAGUUGCAUUAACUGAAUUUGAUCAAUUCAAUACAGCCAGUCUGGCCACUCAUUUUUUUUUUUUAACUCCUUGAUUUAGGUGUUCUAUCUCUCUUUCUAUCUAUCUAACACUAAAAAUAUGGAAUAUUUUUCUGUCUAUAUACAAAAGUACUAUAUAUAGAAACAAGAAGUUGGUGCAGUCCUACUUAUAAUUAGCCCUAGAUUUAUGGGAUCCGAAAUUUUUUAGAACGUAGAAUGAAAAUAAAAAUAAAAUAAAAUAAGACACCAAAAUUUGCCGAUGGCUUUGUAAUUUUGUUUUGCUUUGACUAAAAACUAACAACGACACCAGCGCAAACAACAUGUCUACAACAAAAUUAGUUUCGCGAAAAAUAUGUUGUAUGUUGGCCUCAAGGAACUAAUCAUGUCCAACACAGAAUGUCCUUAACCAACGAAAAUAACUGUGGAGGCAAACGAGCACGACUCAAAAUAGCAUCAACUCUUGAGUCCGAGAUUUUCAUGUUUCUUGGUGUCCAAGUUUCUAUGGAGUUACUCCUUGAGAAUGUAAUCUGUCCAUGGAAUUUAUUUUCGGUUCAAAAUUGAAGACAUCAUAGACAGUCUAAAGAACAUAAAGAAUUUUCCAAGAUGGUAUGCUUAACAUAUCUGUGCAAGUACUAAUUUAUUACACAGCAAAGAAUGCAAACUUUUUAUUUUCUUUUCAAUCAUGGAUGUUGCUAGUUUCGCAACACUGGCUGUCUUAACAACGUGCUGUAGAGCAUGAUGUCUCGGUCGUUGAGAGGCUGUGAUGGUCUUGCGUUCAUCUUUGCAUACUGCAUUCAGGUUAAUGAACACAAGUUAAAUAGGUGCUCAAAAUUGAUACUUUAAUGUAGUUAGUUCUAACAGAGGAAUCACAUAACAAAGACAAGGUUACUUACAUCAUAAACAGCUUGUUUAAGUAACUCCAGUUGUUCUUUCGAAACAGUAUUUACCUGAGGGCAAAUUAUCUAAAUGUGAAUUUACAAGAGUUCAAGAAAUGUUCAUGGCAGAUGAAGAGGUUUUACCAUUUCGUUUACGAUCCAAAUAACUCCUUCAGUGCAAGGAGGGGUUGUGAGUGAGCCAAUGUAUCUGUAAAAUUUUAAGCUGCUCCAUUUUAUCUCACUUGGAUCAGUCAGUUCCAGUUGUGUCUCCUUUGUACCAAUCAUAGACUCUAAGCCGUUGUGCACCUGAAAAUUGGAAUAUAUAUAGUUGAAAAGUAACACCUUUGAGCUCCUAUAAUUUGUUUUACACAUGUUUUGAGUCUUUUUACCUUUGAGAGAAGAGGAUUGGGGCUACCAAUUUUGAAUAGAAGUGCAACUACAGCUUUAUUGUUCAGGUCCGGACUUCGGUGAAGCAUGUGCAGCUCCAAAUCAUACCUAAUAAGUAACUCUUUAGACAUUGAUCAAACAAUUUGGAUAUUUAAGACAGAGGAGCUGAGAUAGAGAAAGAGAGAGACCUGAUGCCAUUAAUGGAAUGCUCAGAGGGGGUGUGCCAAUGGCAUUGCUUGAGGAAGUAAUCUGUGCCAUUGAUUUUGACUGAUCCAGCAUCACCCUCCCACUCCAUCUGCAUCAAUUGAAUAUAAUACGAAGAAAUGAAAAUUGCAGCACUAUGAAUGUCUCUUAAAAUAUGUUUUUGUUUUUGAUGACAAAUUAGACAUUUCCACACAGCAUAUGUAGUAAAAAUUCAUAAGACCUUGAAUGCUACACAUUUGAAAAAAACAAUAAAUUAACUCAAUGAGAUUUUUAAUUUGCCCACCGCUAUAUAGUGGCCUUCGUUCUUCAUGGUUGCAUUGCAGGGCUUGUAACUCAUUUGAAGAUCCUCUGAACUUGAGAUCACUUUGGUGGCACGGUCAUCCGAUAAAUCUAUUGGUGAUUGCAAUUUUCCAUACUUGCAUGCUGCCCAUUCUUUCUUAAGCUCUCCCCAGUGUUCUGGUCCCUUGUCAUUCCCAUUCCUAUAAUCAAACUCUAUUUCUUGACCUGCACCAAAAACCCAAUGGCUGUGAUAAUGAUGAAGCUGGUAAAUGAGAUGAGUGCAAGAAGUAAAUAUAUUUGCAUUACCAACAACUUGGGCUCCAAUUGGUAUUUGGUGCCAGUAGAGAAGAAAUAACGAAAAUACAAGGAACUGAAGAUGGGCUUGCUUUGAUUCAACCAUCGUUCACAGACAACAGCCACUAAAAUCAUACAAAUGUUAAGACAGAGGAGCCUCUGUUCUUUGUUUGAAAUUGCUACAAUGAAGAAUGAUAGAAUGAUGCACUAUGAGCCUAUGCCUAUAUACAAUUUCCCGGAUCUAGAUGUGGAAAAAAAUCCAUACAUCAUCCCUCUAGUAAUAUCUUUGUAAUACUAAUCACUUUUAUUGCAUACUAAAAUGGGGUCUGAAUGAUUUCGAAAUUUGAUGACGCACAACAGCUAGGACAUGCAUGCAUCUGUGGUUUGCAUGCGAAAGUACUUCCACUCCCUACGAUGGAGAAGUUUAUGUGACCUAACACCGCCACGUGGUGUUAUUAAUCCACGUAUUAAACAUGUUAGCUUCUUGGUGUCUCGCUGUAUUCGUAUCCUCGUCUAAUACACUUGCAUUUUGAGAAAACCUCUUAACGAGUUGGACUCUCUCUUGGUGGAAACUAGAAAGAAUCAUCAGUCUCUGCUAACUAAGGUAUCUGUUAAUAAAUGCGGAUAUGUCCCAAUCUUGCCCUUUUAUUUUUUGGAAAGUCUUUAUCUCUGUUUGGUACGGAAAGAUUUACCUCAAUUCUUUCCUAGGUUCAUUUUGAAUUUUCUUCUUAUUUUAUUUUUAUAAGUUGGCACAUUGUGCUAUGUAGUGCCCGUGGAUAGCAUUUGGAAAGAUAAAUGAUUUCAAUCCAUUUACAACAAUUCAAUGUUAAUGGAAAAUUUCAUAAAAUGUUACACAUUCAUUCUAAUUCUGUUUUUGACUAAAAACCAGCUUAGGGACUUGGCAAUGAGAGAGACCUGGAGUUGGAAAUAGUUUGUGUUCAUGAUGCAGCACAGAAGACGGAUCGACAAACAUCUAAACCCGAAAAAAUAAACUGAAAUCCACUAGAAAAUAGAGAAAUCUCUAAAUUUUGAUUAAUAAUAUGAUAAAACCUAUUAAUAUAAUGCCAUUAGUCGGCUUAAAUAGAAAACAAAGAAACACUAGGUUACAAAAUAUUCCUAAAACUUAAUUAAUAAGAAAAUACUUUAAAUCAUAUCAGGAAAAUAAUAUCCUAAUUGAUAACUUGUCCAGAAAUAUAAAUAUAAUACAGAUUUUUUCAAGAAAUCAAGCAACCUGAAAAUCCCAGAGAUACGCAUUCCUUCUUUUCCUACCGCCAUAAUUAAUGCUCAAGCAUGAUUUUCCAAUUUUGAAGCCGAAUUUUCUGAUUUUGAAAUUUCCUUCCUAGGAAUAAACACAUGAUUUGUCCUACAUCAGUUCAGAACUUCCAUUGUCCUUGCUUUAGUAGCUUGGAGGUAAUCUAAAGACUUUCUUAGUAUGCAGCCACCACUGGCGACAAUGGAGGCUGAUGUGGUUAGUUACACAUAUCUCACUGGAGGAAGGAUCAGAAAGAUGAGCCAUGGAGCUUGAUAUCCCGGCCAUAAAGAGGUUGUAGUGGUCUUGCAUUCAUCAUUGCAUACUGAACUCAAGGUAAUCAACAGAAAAAGUUAUUAUAUGCUCAAAAAUGGACACUUUGAUAUGCUUUUUGGUGGACAUUAUCAUUUCGAAGAAUCUGUUGCACAAGAAUCACUUCACAAAGACAGGUUUUACUUACAUCGAAAACGACUUGUUGAAGAAGAUUCACUUGUGAUUUUGAAACAGAAAGUACCUGAGGACAGUUUAUAAUUAGCUUCUCAUUUUUGGCAACUGAAAUGUGAAAUUACAGGAGCAGGAAAAAUUUUCAGGGCUGAUGAAGUCGGUUGUACCUGUUUGUUUAUGGUCCAAGUAACUCCUUCAGUGCAAGGAGGGGUUGUGAAUGAGCCCAUGUAUCUGUAAAAUUUCGAGCUAUCCUCUCUCAUCUUCCUCCUUUUCGCGUCUUGAAACCCUGUCUGAGCCUCCUUCAUCUUCAUCGGAUCAAUCACUCCCAGUUGUACAUUCUUCUUUACAUCAGUCAUAGAUGCUAUCUCCUUUGUCACCUGAAAGUUGGAACAACACCAUUGAUCUCCUGUCCUCUUCUCUAAUUUAACUAAAACGAAUUUUUAGCACAUAAUUUGGAAGGAUUUUACCUCAGAGAGAAACGGAUUGGGUUUGCCAAUUUCGUAGAGGAAUCCAACCACAGCCACAUUGUUGUUCUUGGCUCUGUGAACCAUGUGCAAUUCCAAAUCAUACCUUUUGCCAUUAAUGGAAUGCUCAGAGGGUGAGUGCCAAUGGCAUUGUCUGAGGAUGUAAUCUGUGCCAUUGAUACUAAUUGAUCCAGCAUCACCUUCCCACACAAUCUGCAUCAAAUUACAACACAAGCAGUAAAAAUUCAUGUCUGAAUUUGUACACAAACAAGUUAAAGCAGAGUUUUUCACUUUCUUACCGCAAUAACAGGACCUUCGUUCUCGAUCAUGGCUUCGGCAGGCUUAUAACUGACUUUAAAAUGCUCUAAACUUGAGUUUACUUUGGUGGCAAUCCCAUCCAUUAAAUCUAUUGGUGAUUGUGAUUUGCCAUCCUUGCAUGUUUUCCAUUCCUUCUUAAGCUCUCCCCAGUGCUCUGGCCCUUUCUUGCUCCCUGUCUUAUAUUCAAAUUCUAUUGCAUUCUCUGCACACAAAAACCCCAAACUGAAUAAAUUAUGAUGAAGAAGAAUAAGAGAAUAAUGUAAGUUUAUAUAUGUAUGUAUGCAUUUGACAUUACCAGAAUUUUCAGCUCUAACGGGUUUCGGGUUCCAGCACAGAAGAAAAAAUGUAGAAACAAGUAACCCAAGAUGGAUUUGCUUUGAUCCAGCCAUCUUUCACAGCCAACAACACUCGAGUUUCAAAUUGCUACCACCCAAAAGCCUUCUCCUGUUGGGGUUUAUAUAGCAAUGUUCAAUUCCAGUUACAGAAUUUGAAUGUGGAAACAAAUCACAGCUUCUCCACUUUUAAGCAAUUAUAUAAUUUACCUUUCUUGGCAAUUGCAAUUAUACUUUGUUAAUGGAAAUUCAAGAAGUUGUAUUAACUCCUUGAUUUAUGUAAGCUCUCCCUCUUAUACUAGUAUUGAAGAUUUUUCUUUCUAUAUAUACAAGAGUUACUAUAUAUAGAAAAUAAGAAGUUUUGGUGCAGUUUUUUUGUUGUGAUUAAGCAAGCAUAUCCUCAUAAUUAGCGCUAGAUUUUGGGGGAUUUAUACACUUCUCUAGAACGUCUUGGUACAGAGAACAAAAAAUAAAAAUUAAGACAAAUGACUUGGUAAUUUUUUGUUUGUUUUGCUAUAACUGAAAACUAACGACGACAUCCACGCAAACAUGUCUACAGCAGAAUUAGUUUCACGAAAAAUCUGUUGUAACCAAAUCAAACAGAGAAUGUUGUUAACCAACCAAAUUAACGGAAUUGAGAUGUGUGCUUUCUGAUCUAUCAUAAAACAAGUCCAUUCUACCAACGGAUAGUUUUAGUUCAUUUUUCAUAAACAUUGUGAAGAACAUAUAGAAUCUUCCAGGCUCGUAUGCUGUAAUUUAUUAUUAUCAUGGACAUCACAUUGUUUGCAAGAAAUAUAAAAUGAAUAAUUAUACCACGUGAUCGUACUAUCGUCUCAAAUAGAACAACGCUAACUCACAAUUGAUAGAUACAACAAAUUCAUGCCACAAUUUCUCAUAAAUUUCAUAAAUUCAACAAACUAACACAGGAAUUACAAGUCUACGCUUAUAUAGCGCACAAACCUCACUAUUAAAAAAAGUAGAAAAGAGAAAACAAUAAAGGAAAAUAAUACAAUAUAUCUUCUUUCUAAUCAAAUUUAAAAAAAAAACAGUAAUUUAGAGAAGAUAUGCGAAGAUACACACUGUUAUGUGCGUAAAUAAUCUGAGAGAUUGCUUAGGGCUUUGGUUACCCUCUGGGUGGCUUGGUUUUGGUGCAUUAAUUGAGCCAGAUUCCUUGGGGCUUUGUGCACUAACUGACCUAUAUUGCUUGGGGCCGUGGUUGCCCUCAUGGGGGCUUGGUGCAUCACUUAACGACAGGCCAUAGUGCUUGAUUUCUCGGUCAUUGAGAGGUUGUAAUGGUCUUGUAUUCAUCUCUGCAUACUGCAUUCAAGUUAAGCAACAGUAGAAAUUAAUUUGUGUGAAAAAUUGUUACUUCGAUGAUAGGUACUGAUCAUUUGAAAGACACUACUCUCGCGAGUUUUCACUUUGUUGAAGUAGGUCAUUAGUUCAAAUCUCAUAGACGACGCCGGUAGAUGAAUACGAAGAAAACAAAAAUCAAGGAAUCAAUUAACGAAGAUAAGGUUACUUACAUCAUCCACAGCUUCUUGAAGUAACUCCACUUGUUCUCUUGAAACAUGUUUUACCUGAGGGCAGUUUAUGAUAAGCUAAGUCUCUCAUAAUUUUUUUGGCUAAAAAGGAUAUGAAGAAAUGCUAACUAAUUAGGGCUGAUGAAGAGGUUUUGUACCUUUUCGUUUAUGGUCCAAAUAACUCCUUCAGCGCAAGGAGGGGAUGUGAGUGAUCCAACGUAUCUGUAAAAACUGAAGCUAGUCCAUUUUAUUUCCCUUGGAUCAAUCACUCCUAAGUGUACCUCCUUUGUAGCAACCUCAGACAUUAUAUCUUUGUUCACCUGAAAAUUGUAAGAGUUGGAAUAACACCAUUCAUCUCCUAUAGUUUCUUUUAUACAAUUGUGUUAAUCUUGAGGCCUUUUAAUUACCUUUGAGAGAAAAAGGUUGGGGUUGCCAAUGUGGUAUAGAAAUGCGAGUACAGCAAUACUGUUCCUUAUUUUCGGGUCGGUGCUUUGAUGAACCAUGUGCAGUUCCAGAUCAUACCUAAUGAAGAGACUCUUUAGACAUUGAAGAAACAUUUUGGAUUUUUAAGACAAAGGAGAUGAGGGAGAGAGAGUGAGACCUUAUGCCAUUAAUGGAAUGCUCAGAGGGGGUGUGCCAAUGACAUUGUUUGAAGAAGUAAUCUGUGCCGUUGAUUUUGAUUGAUCCAGCAUCACCUUCCCAUUCGAUCUGCACCAAUUGAAUACAAUACAAAAUCAAGAAAGAAAUGGACAAAGGAAUAAGUUUUCUUAUAGCAAAAAGAUCACAAAACCAAAGCUCUGUUUGUAACAAUGUGAAAAGCAACACACUAAUAUUUUUGCUAAUAACAAAUAUAGUGUCAACAUACUAAGGAACAAUGAACUAUGGAAUAAUUGAAAUAAGGAAUUGUUAAAAAAAAAAAUAAAAAUAUUCAGCAUUAAUUAACACCAUCAUUUAGUAUCAAUCUUGGAUUCAAAUCUCACGAACGAUAGUUGUUCAAUAAAUAAAUAAGACCAUUAUCCACAUCUCAACCAAAAGAAAACUCAAUCGGAUUUUCAAUUUCUAACCGCAAGAUAGGGACCUUCGUUCUUGACAGUUGCAUUUGAAGGCUUAUAACUCAUUUUAAGAUCCUCUAAACUUGAGGUCACGUUGGUGACAUGAUCAUCCGACAAACCUAUUGGUGAUUGAAAUUUCCCAUCCUUACAUCGUGCCCAUUCUUUCUUAAGCUCUCCCCAGUGUUCUGGUCCCUUCUUACUCCCUUCCUUAUAAUCAAACUCAUCAUGCUCUGCACCAAAAACCCAAAUUCAAUAUAAAAUGUGAUAACGGUUAUAUUGCUCUUGAUAAUGAUAUGAAUCCAAUCAUAUAUAUUGCAUUACCAGCUUCUUUAGCUCUAAUCAGUGUUGGAUGCCAGUAGAGAAGAAAAAAAGUAAAAACUAAGAGCUGAAGAUGGGCUUGCUUUGAUUCAACCAUCAUUCACAGCUGAAAGAAAACAAUUAAGAUUAUGCAAAUGUUAAGACAAUAUUGAUGAACUGUGAGUGUAUGUUAUGGAGCUUCCUCAAUCACACAUGGCAGCCAUCACUGUAUAAUUAACAGGAUCUAGAUGUGGAAAGAAAUCAGAUAUCCCUUUACCCUAGCUAAUGUUAUCCCCUUCGUUGGUUUUAAAUCCAUGUCACCUAUAUUAGAUGCUAAUUAUAAGUAACAUUGCCUUGACUUGUUCACUUGAAAUUAAAAGAAUUAUAUAUAUAUAGACAUGAGAAUUUGCCAACACCCAAUCAGCUCAGGGUGGAUCCAGAGUCCCAAUUUAUAUUUUUAUUUUCUAAGGGACAAAGAAAAUAAAAUUAAAAAAAGAUACACAAAAAUUUGCCAAUUACUUGGUGGUUUUUAUUUUUAUUUUUACAAGAACGAUUGGAUAAUAGAUUAAUCAUCAUCAAGGUCAUCUUCUCCUUCACUAAAGAAACUCCAUAAUGACGUGAUGCCAGAUACUUAUACAAUAUCACUCUUUUAGAAAUGUGGUUUGAAUGAUUUCGAUAUUCGAUUAGGUUCAACGGCUAGUCCCAUGUGAUUUUAUGCCAUUGGAUGAAAGUUUGAUGGAGCUUCUUGAAACAAUAAGAAAAAAAAUUGAAAAUAGUUCAUGAUAGAUAUUAUAUUCGUGACAUUAUUAAUUUAUAUCAUAUUUAGCAAAUUACCCCAUAUGAAUAUCGUGUCCUAUAGUACUAGUCCAUUUUUAACAAUUCAUUAAUGCAUGGUUUUUCUUUUUGAUGCAUACUAACGUAUACAAAUACUUUGAAUGAUCAUUUGUGAUGCCGUUAUAAAUUAAGAAGUCUAACUAGAAACAGAUACAUUGAAGAACAGAGGAAAUUCAAGCUAUAACAAGAGAUAUAUCGAGCACAUUGAAGUCCAUAUAUGUGUUCCAAUUUUUAUUUUUACAAAUCAAAUAUAACAAGAGAACAAUUUUUUUCUCCAUCUUGUUGUGAGCCAAUUAUAUAAGUUGAGUCCACUAGGGUUUCUGGCGAACUCUCUUAUAUCUUCAGUUGUAUUUAAUAAUCUUUGGUUUUUGGAAAUAGAGGCGGAUCAUUCGUCGAUUGAGAGGUUGCAAUGGCCUUGCAUUCAUCUCUGCAUACUGCAAUUAGUUUAAGAACCACAUUAGAAAAAGCAAAAAAAAAACAGAACAAAAAUCUUUUCUAUGUGAUCAAAGGAUGGAAGCACAGACAGCCACUUACAUCGUACACAGACACUCGAAGUAGGUCUAUCUGUUCCCUUGAAACAGUCCCAAACUGCGUUGAGGCAAUUAAAAUUUAGGUAAGGAGCUAAUAAGAUAACGUUCUUGGCCCGCACGCAAGAAAUAGAAAUUAAAAAAGACUAAUGCAAUUAAAAAGAAAAGGCCUAUAGUUGAAGAGGGUUUACCUGUUGGCUCAUGAUCCAAAUAACGCCUUCAGUGCAUGGCGGAAUGGUGAGUGAGCCUGUGUAUCUGUAGUAGUUUUUUCCAUCCAAUUCUACUAUUUCUGCAGGAUCAAUCACCCCAAUGCUUCUCUCCAUCUUUUUAUCCGUCAUAGAUGCUAUAUCCCUCGUCAACUGAAAAUUCAGAACCAGCACAUGUUAAAGAUUAUUAGGACGUGUGGUACGUCUUGAGAAGACUUCACUAAUUUCUUAGAAAUUUGAUAUUGAAAACCUAAAAUUCUAAGCUCUAAAUGAUGAUUCUGCACCCUAAAACAAUCAACUGUUAAUAAAUAAUAUCGAAUUAAGUUGAAGAAAAUUGAGUAGAAGUGAUGUUUUCACGACGCGUCAUGUCUUUAAAAAAGAUUAGAUGUCCUGUACAUUGUAUAGUCUUACGCCUAUAGCAUGGCAUGUGAUGUAUGUACGUAGUAUAUUAACGCAUAUAGUAUGAGAUUUGAUGCAUGGUAAUAUUUUGUAUUAGUGAUAACAAGCAAAAAAACAAUUUGUCAAAAAUUAAUACUGGUAACUCGGGCUAAGUGGUUUAAUGUAGGAGGCUCUUUCACCUUUGAGAGAAAGGCAUCAGGGCUACCAAUCUGGUAGAGGACUCCAACAACAGCAGUAUUGCUUUCCACUUUCGGAUCCGGGCUUUGAUAAACCAUGUGGAGCUCCAUAUCGUACCUAACACAGGAAACUAGAUCAUGAGAGACAUAUCAACAAACAAAUUUUAUGCGUCACAAUUUUGUGGCAUUAAGAGAGACAGAGACCUCUUGCCAUUCAUGGAGUGCUCGGAGGGAGAGUGCCAGUGGCUUUGCUUUAAGAAAUACUGAAUGCCACUGAUCUCAAUCGAUCCGGCGUUGCCUGCCCACUCAAGCUGCAUCCACCACAUAAGUAUGAUUAUGAACUACCCUUUUGCAUAAUUAAUAUCUCCUAAAUAUGAUUAUGAACUUCAGAGUUUCCUUAAUUACCUUAAUGUCAUGGCCUCUAUUCUUGAGAGUGGCAUUAGAAGGCUUGUAAAUCCUCUUUAGCUCCACUAAGCUUGGGAGUAUUUGAAAACUCUUACGUGGCAAAUCUAUUGGAGAUUGCAUGCCUCCAUGUUUGCAUGCUGCCCAUUCUUUCUUGAUCUCUCCCCAGUAAGCUGGCCCCUUCUUGCUUCCCUCAACAUAAUCAAAAUCUCUCUCAUCCUCUGCACCAAUAUAAUAUAACAUAAAUGUAUGAGCAACUCAAUAUAAGAACUGCUAAUUAAAUGUUAAAGAAUAAAAGCAUGCAUUUUCAUUCUGCAUACCAACUUCUUGAGCUUCGACGACUGAUAUUGUCGAAUGCAUGAACAGAAGUACAAAAACUAGAAAACAAGAAAUGAUGAAGAUGGGUUUGCUUCGAUGCUUCAUGUUGAUCAUUUAUCAGAUAAAACAUGCAAGUCUUUGUGAUGUUCUGAUCAGUAGGAGUUUUUUUAUUGGUAUAUAUAGAUAAAAACCACUGCAAUUAAAUUGAGGACAAAAAAGGGAGAGGCAUUGCAAUCACAAGUUUUUUGGAUAGUCUUGGGCGGUAUAACAUGAGACGUCUCAGGACUAAUGAAUGCGCCAUAUAAAUUACAAAGGCAAUUGUAUUGUACACUGCCAGUUUUGAGUUUGCUACCGAAAGUUUUGCAUGAUUUUGAUCAAUGAGGAAAAGCCGGUAAAACUUAGACGAACAUGAGCUGGGUAGAGUUUGGGUUGAUUUUAGGUCUAAAUCUCAUCACGCUUGAGAAGACAUAUAAAAGGAAAGUUUCACAAUCCAAGGAUUUCACUUUGGUUUAUAUUACUUUGGAAACUCUAAACCCAAAGUAAUUGCAUCUGUUUAUGCCAAACAGAAAAUAAAGUAAAAUUUGUUUGGACAAAGAAAAUAAAGUAAAUGCAUAAUUUGGAAUUUUAACAUGGACUUAGCUAAGUUGGCUAGAGCGGAUGUGCUCCCCACUCUGCACCCGAAUUUGAAUCAUCCUCCCAUAAUUUAAAUUAAAUUAAAAUUAGAAUAUUGUUUGUAUGAUAAUGUAUAUAUACACACACACGCUUGAGCUAGCAAUACAAUGAACCUUCGUGUUCUUCUUAAUUUCUCUCAUAAAUAGGAGAAUUUCUAAACAACUAGCCAUACCCAUACAUGCGGCUAGAAAAUAUUCUGAAAUCUAAAUUAUUUCCCAACAAUAUAUCAUGCAAAAUAUAUUGAUGUAUAGGUCAAAUGAAAUGAUUUUUCAGGGUAUAAAAAAGCAUGACUUGGAUGAUCCCUUUUAUUUUAUCUACUGUUCAGAUUUUGUGUGUUUUCAGGAUUAUAGCAUUUACUUUGGCAGAGGAGAAACUACCCAAAAUUAUAACCAACUUUGCACAUCACCAAGCUAGCAAUGCCAAAUAAAAACAAAGAAAUUAAAAGCUAGUUUAAAUACAACUAACACCGAAUUCAAGAAUCAAAAUCAGACAAUCAAUAUAAAUAAAGGAAGUCUAAGAGCUUCAUAUACCCAAGCGUUUAUCAUAAGAAUCAGAAUCUCAUUCCAAAUUCAACCUGAGUUAAUUACAAAACUUGUGUACUCAUUAUACCAAAUUAAUUUAACUCUAGUUACAACAAGUGCUAUAAUGUAAAAUUGCUAACUAAAAUACAUUGUAGUGACUCUUAACUUUUACUUUGGAAUUGCCUUUGAAAUUGUGAGACUUGCCUGCAUAUUUAGUUCUCUUCAAUAUCUCACACAAAUUAGAGUAGUCAAAUCAGUUAACAUCUUUCUACCAAAAAGAGCUCACCCAAUACAAACAAGCAGUAAAAGUUGUGUUUAUACUCUUAGCAUACACAGACUCUUAGCAGAUCAUGCAAUGCAAACAGUUCGUUAAGAAGUCAGUUGUUUAUUAUUUAGGAUAUAAAAAAGCAUGACUUGAGUGCCUCACACUAUUUGUUUUACUUUUGGUUCAUAUUUGGUGUGUUUUCGAGAAUAUUUAACAGCCCCUGCCCGGCCCUUAAUUUGCGAAUAGAAGGCUGCAAAUGUAAUUUUACAAGUUCUAUAUUUAGGCUGCGGCUGACACUUUAGAAAACAAAAACGAGCAUCUUGGAACUCAAACAAAAAAGCCAAACAAGACGUAUAUCACUUUUUUUUUUUUUGGUGAUUAAAGAAAUUGACAUGAACAGAACCUGCUUCAAUAUGGUCUGAAAUCAUUAUCAGAAAAGGAAAAGGGUCAGAAAGUUGGACAUUUUUUAACGUAACACAAUGGCCAUGAACUUAAAAAAAAUUAAAAAUUAAAAAUUAAGAUCGAAUUUACUUUCAUCUAAUUGAAAACAAGGUAGCCUCAUUUUCUACCAAAAAUAAGGUCCACCCUGAAUUCCCCCAGCUGCCAAACAUUGGCUUCACGAUAAGACCAAAAAAAAAUUAGGAUAGGUGAGUUGUACAGCUGGCAGUAAAAACAAAUUGGCAUGAGAAUAGAUGUCCAGUCAUUUCGGUUGACUAAUCAUACUACUUAAUAUUUAAAUGAAUGCACUGUAUGAUUUUUAUGUUUAAGGAUCUUCAUUCCAUUUGAGCCAUGACAAGGUUAAUUUCAAAUUCUGUAAUCAUCUUGAGUGCAGACUUAACAUAGUCUAAAUUAUUGAGCUUGACUGAUUACAUAAAAGAUUACAAGUUUGUCAAAAAAAAGCUAAAAAUAUUAGCUAAACAAAACCUAACCGAACUAAUAAUAGAAUUCAUUUUCUCUCUGUUUUCUUCAUUACCUCUUCUCUAUUUUAUGAUCUUCAUUUUAUCUCUGUUUUUUUCAUUGUCUCUUCUCUAUUCUCUGAUCUUAACACAAACACAAACACCCACAUUCAAUUCUUCUUUUUGAACAAUUAUAUCAUUUUGUAUUUUUUCUCAAGAUUGUUUUUUGAUUCACUCUUUUCUUGCACCUCAAGACAUUGAAACCAAUCAAUCCUCUUGGUGAAAAUAUUAAGUUCACCAAAAUAAAACUUGGGAUAUGAAUAUGAGUAUGCAAAGAUGAUUGAGCAAGUAUAUAUGUAGGUAGAAUUUCAUAUAAUUCGGGAUGUCUAUAGAGUACACUAGGUUUAGUCCAAUCUUUCUCAAUUUAUUCUACCACAUAACUAAUAAAAUGAUUUUAUAAUAAUAUAUUUAGUUCACUCCAAUAUCUUAUGUAAAUUAAAAUAUAUUUAAAUAAAAUAAGAAAAUAGUGUUAUACCCACCCAUAUAAGCAAAGAUUAAAAUCUCAAUCUUACCAUUACUUAUCAAUUCCAACAAGCAUUAUUUAUUCUAAUAUAUCAUGCAAAUGGUUGGUUAACAGGUGAAAUUUAUUCUUUAAGGGUAUAAAAGCAUGAAGGGAGUCAUCACACUAUUUGUUUCUCCAACUGUUCAUAUUUUGUGCGUUUUCAAGACUAGCCGAGGAAACUUCACUUUGAUUUUUUCAAGAGUUUGAAAAUUUUCAUAUAACUCUAGAUGUGAAUACUCUUUACACAUUUUUUACGUGGGAGACAAUAGAUAAACAAAAUAAAAAAAUUUCCGUUCAUUUUUUUAUAGAAAAAUCUAAGUGAUGAGUUUCGAGGUAUUUUACAUAUGUACACAAAAAAAUUAUAUACAAAUCGAGUUUCAUUCUGUUUUCCCUUUCUUUCAAUUAAAACCCCACACACAAUUGCAAACAGACACUUAAUAUAAUUCAUCAACGCGUUAUAACAGAGUGAACAACUAUAACUACUCCUUAUAUAUAUGCAUCAUGAGCUUCAAAAUUUUCCUCUGUAUUGUCUGAGUUGUCCUCUAUAGACUACGGUAUACUUUUUCUUUGGCUGUCUACCCCAUUUUUGAAACCUAAAUAUUUCUUUAUCUUUUAAGGGAUUUUAGGAAGAAGGGGAUCUCAACUAUUGGAUUGAUCAUUGAUGGGGGGUUGAAGAAGUUGUAAUGCAUUUUGAGCAACUUGCUAGGAGCGUAGAACUAUCAGUCUCUAGUUUACCAUAAAGCCCUUGACUGCUAAUCAGCGACUUCAAGUUGAAGCUAGGCAAACACACACAGAUAUAUAUAUAUAAAUAUAUUAUACAUUUGGGAUCUACUUAAUCAUCUACAUCCAUAAAUCUUCUUUCAGUCAAAGAGGUAGGACCAAACAUGUAAUAAGAGUCAAAAAGGGCAUCAAAUGUACGUAUUAGUGGGCCGAUGAGGAUCAGGUACCAGCACAUUCACUACUCCAAUGAUUUCAACAAGAGAACGUUGUAUUGUAUAUUUUAAGAACAUUAUCCAAAAGCAGAUUCUUAUAUAUAUAUAUAUAUAUAUAGAAAAAUUCUUUUAUUCGGACAUUCCGAUGUUAUUAUCGUGUGGACGCUAUGUAUUUUGUACUACAUUUCCCUACUUUCAUGUCUGUUUACAAUAGAUUAUGCAUGAUAAUAACGUGCGGAUAUAUAUUUCAAAUAUUUUUAAGUAGUUUUUUCUUUCUUCUGUUACUAUAUAUAGCUAGUUAGAGAGUUGCAUGGAUCUAAAAAUGAAAAGCCUAAAUUAAGGGAUAUGAUUUGAUCAAAGAACGAGAGUUGAGAGAUUAUAUAUUGGAUUAAUUUUUCGAGGUAUUAUUCUGAAUUGGGUGGGUCAAAUUUUUCAAAAGCUAGCUCUCAUUAAACCCUAGCUAAAAGUUGGUGGGUGUAGGCAUAGGGAUUAGGAUCGAUGCAUUUUGAAAUCCUUUAACUGAAUGGGGGCCAUGGUUUGCAGUUAAAGUUAUAGAGAGAGGGGGCAUUUCUUUUCUCUCUUCCACUUUACAUGUUGGAGAGGAAAGGAAUAUGAAUACAGCUCCUUUCUAACAUAAAUAUUCAACAAUGGACCACGCAUUUGUCUGAUUCUUCUCAGAAUCUGAUGAAGCGUACGAAAUGCAUCUAUCAUAUUGUAAACGAGUCAUAGUAGUAGCAAACUAGCAAAGUGAACGCGGUGCAUUAAAUCAAGAAAUUGAGCACAACGAUUUUGAGCAGUCACCAAUCACUACUAGAAAACUUCUGUAUCUGCCAUUGGUACACCCGUGACCUAUAUUAAGGUAGGUCACAGAUUUUUCCAUAGUAUGUUGGAUACGAUGAGUUUUACAGAAUAUGCGUAUGUUCCCAUUUAAGUGUGUGUUUUUUUCACGGUUUAAUUUAUAGUUUUAUCUUAAAGAAUUUCGGUGCAAUUUAGGAAACUACAAUGUAGAAAGUCACUUAUGCAGCUUGGAUGACAAUUUAUUAUUUGAUAUGCACGCAAUUAUCCUAACAAAAGUCCACAACAAUGAACGUCGUCUCUAUUCAACUAAUCAUCUAUCCUAAACCAAAUUAGGAGGGCCUACACCUAUCAACUUCAUUGGAACUUUUGGCAAUGAAAGCAUGCAGCAACGCCAAAAGUGUAUAUACUAUAUAGUUUAGAAUAAAAAUAAUAAUAAUAAAAGGUAGCGUAAUGUCAUAAUGAAAGCACAAAACAGGGUAGGGUAUUUGAAAACUAAUGAAAGCAUAGAUAGCAGCAUCUAUGUAUAUCCAGUAUUAUUUAUUUCCUAACUUCUGAUUCCCCAAAUUAAUCUUUUUCUUUUAGUGGGGCCCUCAUGUCGAAGAAAGAGAGAAGAACAGAGAGCUGAUCAAUUUGUUCCCGGAUCCGCAGGAGGAGGCUCCAUACAUAUUUGAUGAUAUACAUGACAUAAUUAUAUUUGGUUGUUGCUGGGUUUACUGCACUGCAUGUGUAAAUGUAGGCCCUUUAUAUUAUUAACUGCUGCGGCUUUGAAACUGGGGUUGAUUGAAUUAACCAAUCAGAUUCAUAACUGGAUGAAAAGGACCAGUUGCUCUUGAAACUGUAUUUGUUCAGCUUAAUUCAUGCACUGAUGUUUCAAAAAGAAACAAAAUUUCUCAGCUCAAGAAAAAGAUGUGUAUCAUUUUGUCAGAUACGUAUCCCUCUUUGUUAAUCAUAUAAAAGCACCAAUUGUCAAAGCUAGUUUCAAGAAACCGGAUAUUUUGAUAUGUUUGUUUCCACGAAGAGGAAAGAAGCUACAUCUUUUGAGUACCUUUUUAUUUAUUUAUUUAUUUUGAGUUUUGAACACAAACAAUUACUGAAAGAAGUUGAGGUGAGUAGGAUAAGCCCAUGCUAGAUCCCAUCUUCACAUUUUCACACACCUCCACACGUGUGACGAAUUUUCAAACCUAACACGUAAACAACAUAUAUUGGGUGACGUGAAGUAUGUGUGGCUGUUGGACUUUUACAAGUGGACAAACCGAAGAAAGUUGAAGUUCCACCAAAAUUAAUUGGCAAUGGAGGAGUAGUCCAACACCUUAUAAGUCCGUAGUCCCACUUUUUCACCUACACACUCACAAUUACUACUAUAAUUUCAUGGCUUUUGAUGAAGAAGAAAAUAUCAAAUGCUGAUGAAAAAUCAAGGCUGCAUUGUACGAGCUGAAUUAAUGGGGCAGUGAACAACCUUAUUAACUGUGGUUUGGAGUAUUAAGGGUCCAAAAAGUCAAAAAGCCCUGCCAGACACCACGAGAUACCAACUUCGUUACCUACCUUUCCAUUUGCAAAACCCUAGCUAAUUGAUAUAAUGGUCCAAUUAGCUUCUGCCAUGUCACUCUAUCUAGGAUCUAGCUGCUUGAAAUUUGGUAUUAUAAACCAUUUUGUAUUAGGAGCACAGUUUACCCAUCAUGUUUAAUUAUUGUCUAUCAGUCUACUCCAUUUAAAACACUUAAAAUGACAAUGUUUGAAACCAUUCAAGUUUGAAUUCUUUUUAAAAUAAAAAAUAAAAAAGGAAAGCAAAAUGGAGACCAGCUCCUUUAGGAGAUAGACUUUCAUGCAAUAGAAAUAGUACUUUUUGCUAUUUUCGACCAAUAGCGGCAUGACACUCGAAAUAACCUUUUUAUGUGUCAUUGCAUAAUUGGCCGUUGAUAGAACAACAAUCCUAUCCCCGUUGCAAUAAAGUUUUUUUUGCUCCUCGAACAGUCUCUCUGUGUGGUUCUUUUUCUUUUUACCUCCAUUAGGGAUUCCCUAAAAGUCUAUAUCAAUGAUUAUAAAAGAAGAGCACUGAAGUGACACUAAUGGGUACAGUAAGAAAGAAAGGAGUGUGAGAGAAGAAGGCAAGAGACCAUCUUCUCCACUCACUCCAAUUACUGUUUAUUGUCUUCCCAAAUUAAACAUGCAGCUCAAUCACUGAAACACUAACUAGAUUCUUGGACCAAAUUGGUAUACAAUUCCUAGCAAUUAUAAAAACUAUCCUAACAUUUCCUCAAAAAUGGUUCCCAGAACCUGCAUUGUCCUGCUCUUUCUUCUCUGCUCAUUUUCUUCUCUUGCCACAGCAUUCCUCAACCUCACUCUUCCUGGCCAACAUCCCAACCCAGAAGAAGUUGUUCAAGAAGUUCAUAGGUAAAUACAUAGCUUUAAUUACCUCCUCUGUUUUUUCUUCCUCUGUUUUCUUCUGUUUCUCAGCCUUUUGUAGAUCUGAGUUAUCAAUCUUAACUUUUUUUUCCCUUUAUUUUUCAGGAAGGUUAAUGCUUCUUUGGCAAGAAGGCAAAUGCUGCAAGGAACCAUAAAAUACCAGGACUCUUCAUGCCUAACAGGAAACCCAAUAGAUGACUGUUGGAAAUGUGACCCAAAUUGGCCAAACAACAGGCAGAGCUUAGCAGAUUGUGCAAUUGGGUUUGGCCAAUAUGCUCUUGGAGGCAAAGGUGGUGAGUAUUAUAUUGUCACAGACUCUACUGAUGAUGAUGCUGUGAAUCCAAGGCCAGGCACACUGAGAUAUGCUGUGAUACAGACUGAGCCUCUCUGGAUUGUGUUCCCUGGCAACAUGCUCAUCAAGCUCUCCCAAGAGCUCAUCUUCAACAGCUACAAGACCCUUGAUGGCCGUGGAGCCAAUGUCCACAUUGUGGGUGGUGGCUGCAUCACGUUGCAGUUCAUAAGCAAUGUCAUCAUCCACAAUGUGCAUAUCCACCACUGUUAUCCGUCAGGUACAUGAGUUUUUCCACUUCAUUUCAUGAAUUUUUAUUUACCAUAUACGCAUGGUUUGCUCGUAGUUUAAGUUUAUCCAGAUUUACUUGAUACUUAUAUGUGACUUAUAAAUAAGAGACUGAGUGUAUCUAGAUUUACUUUAGAUUUACCUUAAAACACUUUGCCGGGUUAUUUUUGCUUUUACUAAAAAAUAAUUUCGGUGUACGCUCUUGGAAUUAGCUCAAGUAGCGGAGGAGUUUGAGAAAAAUUGGUUAGGAUUAGAAUAAGUUAAGAGUUUGAUUCCUUUCCAUGCAGGUGACGCUAAUGUGCGUUCAAGCCCAACCCACUACGGCUACCGCACAAAAUCAGACGGUGAUGGGAUCUCCAUCUUUGGAUCCAAAGACAUAUGGAUAGACCAUUGCAGCCUAUCACACUGCAAGGAUGGUCUGAUAGAUGCAGUGAUGGGGUCCACAGGGAUCACAAUAUCAAACAACUACUUCUCCCACCACAAUGAGGUGAUGCUUUUGGGACACAGUGAUGACUAUUUACCUGACACAGGCAUGCAAGUGACCAUAGCCUUCAAUCACUUCGGCGAAGAACUGGUGCAGAGAAUGCCAAGGUGCAGAAAAGGCUACAUCCAUGUGGUCAACAAUGACUUUACUCAAUGGGAAAUGUAUGCGAUCGGGGGCAGUGGAAAUCCUACAAUAAAUAGCCAAGGCAAUAGAUAUACUGCUCCAUCAAACCCUAAUGCCAAGGAGGUGACAAAGAGGGUGGAGACAGCGGAAGGGAAGUGGAAGGAUUGGAACUGGAGAUCAGAGGGGGACAUUUUGGUAAACGGAGCAUUCUUUGUGGCUUCAGGGAAGGGUGUUGAGUUUAACUAUGAGAAGGCCUACAGUGUGGAGCCCAAGUCUGCUGUUCUCAUUGACCAGCUCAUCAUGCAUGCUGGUGCCCUUGGAGUUGGUGGCAGGUCUCUCUCUUUUUCUUUUUUGUCUCUUUUUCUUUCUCUAUGCUCUCUUUUUCCCUUUAUUUUACUCUUUUUUACUUUUCUUAAUUAUCUAUGGACUACUUUGAUUAUCUCCACUAUGUUCAUGGCAAAAUUAUGGUGGGCUGAUUCUAAGCUCAAACUUGAAGAAGUCAGAUCUACUUGGUUUUAGGUUGGGGUCAUCUUGGGCCUCUAUUUUGCUUAAUUUUGGACCAAAUAGGACUUGUAGCAUAAUGUUUCACUUCUUUGAUAUCUCUGCAUCCAUGAAAAUGAGCCCAAGAUGUCUCUUUUUACUUUUAGUAAAAGAGAAUUGAAAUUGACUACUCAAUUCAUGUAGGAUGUGUUUGGUAGGGUUUUUCUUAGUUCUAAACCAACUUUUGAAUUUACAAAAGCACUUUUGAUAGUGUUUGGUAAUAAACAGAAGCGGUUUUUGCGGUCAAAGAAACAUUAUUAUCUAGUGGACAAAUUUUCAAAAAGCGCGUAGUUGCUGUGAAUAUGUAAAGUCUUGGGUUGAAAUGGUAAAACUAAGACCUGUGCAAUGUUAUACUCUGGAAGUUAUGGCAGUGCAUGAUGCAAUUUUGAAUGAACAGGGACAACAACCUGGGGAAGUGGAGCUCUGGAUCCAACGGUGACGGAAACGGUUUAGGGUCAGGUCCAGACUAUACGGAUGACAUGUCGGGAAGUAGCAGCAGGAACAAUCCACUGCCACUUUCAUCCACAUCCACCCUCUUCUCCUUUUUUAUCUCAUUGUCAUGCUUGUUAUUUUCGUAUAUUAUCCCAGACAUGCAUUUCACAAUGAGAAAAUAAUCAGUGGUUUCAAUUGCUUUUAUAUUUAUAUCAUCAAUGUUUCUGCAUAUUUGGUACACAAGAGAGAAGAUAGAGAAGACAUAAGAGCAAUAGAAUCUGCAGUCUUUUGCUUUAGACUAGCUAUAACUACAUUUUAAUUUACUUUUAAUUAGGAUGAGAUGUCUUCAUUGGAGCAUAUACAUCUAACUCUUAGGGCAGGUUUGGUACUACAUUUGAAAGGACUAAAAGUGCUUUCUGAAGAAGUCAUGAAUCAUUUUGAAGUGUUUUUCCAGUAAGUAUUUGGAUUUUUAAUACAAAUUAAUUUCAACGUUCUUCUAAUAAAAACACUACGCACUUCUCAAAAAAGGCUCAUAAGUAUAACUGCUUCCUAUAAAAGCAGUCUCACAUGAGCCCUUAGCUAUACUAAAAAUGGACAAAGAGUGAUGCAGUUCCCAGCUAGUUCCAAAUCACUUUAUUUAUAUUGAAGUUGAACAGCUCUUUAUAUCCAUUGGAACAUUCAGUCCAGGUUACCAAUUUAAAUACUAAUGUUUGGCUGGGUGGACAGAAUGGUGACGAGGUAUUGGUGGUAGGUUUUGAUACCAGAUAGAUAUUCAGCCUCUGAGAAUUAAAAACCGGAAUUAAGAACCUGGGUUGUGAUAUUUGUUUUCUCUAGGUCAUCAUAAGCCAGCAUGUUGUUUCUUCUUCUUUUUUGACCAAUUGAUAGGUUUAAGUUACAUCUUGGAUCCCCCUUUUUUUUUUUCUUUUUUAUUUAUUUAUUUAAAGGACGUUUCUUAUUGAUAGGGGCGAUAAUAUAAUAAACUCACACACACACUACACAGAUUAGGACUCGAACCCAUGACCUUGCCUGGGGGAGCAAUUACUCCAAACCACUACAUUAGCGAGUCCUUAAAUUUGCGGAUUUUGAAUCUUUAGAGAUUCAUGUAAUUACCAAACUUACUUGGUUAACUGAUCUUUAUAAUUCAAUGUUGGAGAGCAACUUAAUUUACGGCGAUGCUCUCUUACUCCCAAAUGCUGCAGAAUUUUUAUCAGUUAAACUUGAAGGGUUAAAUCACAGCCAUCUUAGAUUAGUUCUUGUUACUGAUCUCAACUCUAUUAGCAGCUUGUUUUGCUGAUUAAAUCUGUUUCCCACCAUGCAUCUUAUUUCUCUAACAAAAUAAAUUGGUCAUCGAUCACUUUCUUCUUCAUUGUUUUAACUCUUACUUAGCAGCUACGGUACCUUGGUAGGUCUGUUUAAUUAUAUAUCAGAUGACCUUAAUUCGCAUGUAGAAUAACAAGAAAUAAGCUCUGCCAGGUUGAAAUCCACUUGACAGAAAGCACAUUGCUGAAGUGAAGAGUAUAUAUAUAUAUAUAUGCCAAGAUUGGUUAUUUUGUUCGUUAAUUUGAAUUAUUUGGUUACGAAAUUUCAAGUUGGAUGCUUCUCUCCCUCUCUCUUUCUCUCUCUCUCUCUCUUUAGGGUGGAAAGUUUGGAUGCUUUAGUUAAGCUUAGUCGUUUUUUUCCUAAACUGUUUGUCUUAUAUGAUUAUAUCUACCAGAUGAUAGGAAACUGCAACAGUUUAGAAGAGAAACUUGAGAAAAUUUCAAUUUGAUUAAGAUGGUUCUACAUCACAUACAUGCAUGCCACUUUGAAUUACAAUUUGAAGGCUCUAAGUGAUCGAAGUGACAAAAAUUAUUCACCAUUCAUACUCUGGCCCAUUCAUUCUUGUAAGGCCAUCAGCUGCGCCAUAAUUGUUUCAUGUAGACAUGCUGAAGUUGGAAGGAAGAAGUUGUGUUUCUCGUAGCAGCAAUGCGAUUUACAAUCUAGAGGCUCGGAGUUCAUUUGAUCCGCAAUUCAAAAUAUUAAGCGUCUGUUAGUUCAUGUCCCAGAGGAAACAUGGACACUCCCAUCUAUUGCUAUCAUCUGGAGUCCAUGUCAGAUGACACAAAUCUGACUCUACACUGUUACAGUCCUGAUUAUAGUUUAUUCCACUUUGUUCGCUUGAUAAUUCGGAUAUCCAAUCUGAUAACCUGGUUUCGUACAGAGAAUUUGUCAAUGCAAAUUCUGAUAAACCAAGAUCAUCAAAGCAAGUAUCCUUGGCUCCACAUAAAUUUGAAACAGAGUCAUGGUGUUGAUUAAAGUUGUACUGUUUUUCAGCACUCAUAUCACCUUCCUGAAAGAAAAGACUUUGCUGGCCUUUCUUUGAUGUACAUUGGAAGUUUCCUGCAGACAGAGCAAGUGUUAAUAAUGCAGAGGAAAAAACUGUAAGUAGAUAAAUAACCUUAGCAGUAACAUAUAUCAGAAAGCAGAAAAGAAUGAUGAAGUUCUGUACCAUCUUGAAUUGGUUCUUUCUUCUUUAAAUAUGUCCUCCAGUAAUUCUUGAUCUCAUUAUCGGUUCUUCCUGGAAGCAUUCGAGCAAUCUUCGACCACCUACAUGACGGAUUUAGUUAGAGGACCACUUAUCAAAAUUGGUAAACAUAACUUAUGCACUUAGGCAGCAGUGCUAGUAGUGCAGCAUGAAGGUGGUAAUGUCAAACUUGAAUAGGUAAAGACAAGAAAAUUAAGAACCUUACUUGUUGCCCCAUCGUUCAUGAAGAUGAAGGAUUAUUUUCUCUUCUUCGACAGUGAUAUGUCCAUGCUUAAGAUUUGGACGGAGAUAGUUCAACCACCUCAUCCUGCAACUCCUACCACUCCUCCUUAGACCUGCAGCAUGUAAACAGAUUCUAAAUUUCUGUUCUCCAUAUAUGUAAACUGAGUUGUCUCCAAAAUUAACUAAUAAGAAUCACAUGUAAUGUACGUACCUGAUUCUUUCGCUAAAGCAUCCCACCUCCAAUUUCCAUUUAGAUUUACGUAGCCUGUGAGUCGUUCAUCUUCCUCUUCAAGCCAUGGACCUUUGCGCAGUUUUUCUCCUUCCAUGUCUGCUUGACAAGUCAUUAUUGGUGUGACAAACCAAGAGACAUUAAACCUUUAUAUACGAGAAGCAAAGGUAACUAGGAGUUGGAGAAAAGAGAAAAAAGAGAUGGUGAUUAGAACCUCUUACAUGCCACACUAGGUGGACACAUCACUAGUUUGUGGGAACUCCACCAUUGGUUUACAUAAAUUCAUGCUAAUAAGGUAACAAUUAGGUCAUCUAUGAAGGUGAACAGUUGAUAAUUCUUGUUCUAUCUCCCUUCUUGCAUCACAUUUUUUGUCUCUAUAAGCAGAUGUUGUCCUUCCAUGAAAAUUAUAUUAUUGAUUUUACUGCAGCAUAUAUAGAUAUUUAUUUUGUCUCUGCUUAUUUUAGAAAGUUAGCAGAGCAACAUUGCUAUAUGAUUGUAUAAAAAAGAGAGGAUAGAGAUAAUGUUUUGGAAGGUGGCCAAGUGAAGCAAGAUUUUGAAAUAGAUUAAUAGAUCUUGUGGAUACUUUUCAUUGGCAUAUCUGGAAACAACUUUGGACCGGCUGCACAUCACUUGAUCCUAGAGAGGAGGAAGGAUUUGUUCUCAAAUGAAACCAGAAAUGAUAGUCAAAUUUGAUAAUGAAAUUAGAAUUGUGUUGAUGAUAGCGAUUGGAUCCAAGAACUUGAUUUGGGGCUUUCAUUUAAUUCAAAACCAUUUUACAAGCUUCAAGGGUCAAGAGCAUAAGCUGCAUGCCAACUUUAUAUGCAUACAUUCGUGUGGUGCAUGUACAGUGAAGCGAAAGCGUUCAAAAAUAACAAAACUUCACAUUACUCAAAACCUCAUAUAAUUUAAAUUUAAAGUAUUAAUGUAACAUAUUGAACUAAAAGCAGUAGAGUUAUGGGGCCAAAACAACAUUGAAAAAAGGGAACUCCUCAUGCCACAAUCCAAAACAAGAACCCUCCCGCGUCUGAUCUAUAGAUACUAGGAACUACGUACACCUUAACUGCAGAACAAGCAAGAAGGCGACACAAGGGGAGAUCUUAUUAUGUCAUUCUUCCUGAACCGGCUUCUGCUGACUGCAAGUACUUGUCCUCUUGAUAACAGGAAUGCAUGCACUAGCGAUCUAUGAAUGAUUUAUUCAUGAGAUUGACAGCAUCAUCCAUGAACUGCAUCAUAGACAUGACAAAUGUGUUAAUUAAAAAGUCCUUUGCAAAUAUGGAUUUUCAUGUUUUAUGUAUGAAAGCAUAGUUUGUUGUUUCCCGUCAAAACUAAGUACUUGACAAGAAUCAAACAAGAGUACACCACCAAUUAUCAACAACAAAUAGUGGGAACUACAAUUUAAGAACGAGGACUCAAAGAAAGGGUGGAGCAUAAAGUAUUUUCUUGCUCAUUCACUUCAGAACAAGUGAAGGCAUAAAAUUUACAGAGAACUUUUAAUUUAGCACUAUAAAUCUUCCACUAGUCAGCUAUAACUAAAACCCAACCUCCUUCCACCUUGUAACAAAAAUCAUAACUUUUUAGGAAAACCAGGUCUAGUCUGCAUACACUAGGCCACAGCCUGAAAAGACAAGCUGAUUAAUUUACAGAAUGCUUAACCACAGAAAACAUUUGGCAGCAAUGAAAUAUAUGCAUGUAUCCAGUUUUGAAUUUCAUUAUGGUGCUGUGUGAAGAUCAUUUUCAGAAUUUUUAUGGCAAUUUGACACAAAAGAAUUAAUUUUUAUUUCUUCAAAUGAUACAAGAGAACAAAAUGGCAUGAUAUUAUUUUCAGCAAAUCUAACCAGGCAAACCAGGAAUGUUCUGUCACAAGCUGGUUUUAUUAUUGGACAAAUUUCAUUUUAUUCGUACUUUUUCCAUUCCAUGAAAUUGGGAACCAAUUCAUCAGCAAUUUAAUUUGGGGGCAGCACCGUUUCUCAAGGGCAUUUGCACUUUAUUUAUUUAUGUAUUUAUUUUUGGUCUAAAGCUAUCUGCUCUCAUUACCGAGUCAAGAAUGUUAACUCCAAAAGGUGAAAACAGAUAUGAAACAUGGAAAUUUACCUUUCCAAGCUGCUUGAGCUCUCGUCCAACUGGUUCCAAAAAUUUCAAGUUAACUUCAAUAGGCCAUACCUGCAUGAAAAUCAGGGAUCAAUUAAAAGAAUAAUAACAAAGAAGCACAAGAGGCAAGGUAUACAUAAUAAUAAGUAAAAACUUGAUAUAUCUAUGACACGGGCACAAUAUGCAAAUCAAAGCAUUAAGAUUUCUCUAUAUUUUGCAUUUUGAAACACCAUCUAUCAAAUAUACUAUUCAAGCACAGGAUCUGCCUUCCUAAAAGUACAUGACUAAAUACACCUCCAGAGAAGCAGAAUACAUAAUUAUACAAAACAAUUCCAGACUUUUAAUAAAGUAAUAAAAUUUUACGGGUAACAUGAGAUAGAGAAAAAAGAUAAGACCCUAGUUAGAACAUAAAGGCAAUUUCUUAUGGUACAAAGUUCGAACUUUACAAUGAGCACCUGGUUUAAAGGUUAAAAAAGAACAAAAGGCAAACGAACAACAUUGGCGCCAAGAAGAAGCAGAAGUUUCUAUUCUAAAUGUGCAUAGUUAGCAUAACAUAUAUACGAGGAAAACAUAUAAUAACAGCCAUAGCACUCUACCAAGAAUUUACAGCCAGCAACUAUUGGCGUGUACUUACUACUUAUUCGCAUAUGCCACCAUAGUUGCACACACAACCCACAUAAUGCUCAAGUUAUUUGUGAACAUAAUUGAAGAAUCGCAUUACUUACAUACAAAUGAGGAAAAUUGAACUAACCCAUGAAACCAUUGGUCAAAAUUUGGGAGCUAAGAAACUUAUUGAAGGCAGAAUGAACCAAAUAAGUUUGCAUAUAUUUUAGUGAUGAAAAAAAAGAAAAAGAGUAGGAGGCAACCUUGACACCAAGUAACUUGAUAGGUGUAACUUGUCCCGGGACAAUGCACUCAGGGCCUGCUGCUUCCACUAUGGCUUCCAUUGCUAACCCACUUCCUACCGGGUUCGGGUGCUGCAAAAUUAGACUUUUUUACGAUGACCCAGAGGAGAAAGAUAAAUAAUAAAAAAACAAAGCAAUUACAAGUGUAGAAGGAGAGUGAGGUGUGUGAGAUAGAGAAAAGGAACCUUCAUGACAGAGAUGGCAUAAUUGGAAGUAGGGUUCUGGGUUAUUCGGAGAACAGGGGAAUGGUGAAUUUUGGGUAUGGGUUUGGUGUUUGAGGCCCUCCAAGGCACGUCCUUUGGCAGUGAAGAACCACCUCCUCCUCCUUUACGGGACAUGCCCUUCUUUCGUAGAGAGAGAGAGUCUGUGUGUCUGAUUUUGAGUUGAUGAUGAAUCGAUGCUGAAGAAGCCACAAGAUGAUGGAUAAAUCGCUCAGGACCUGAGGUUUGUAUCUUUUGGAGCGGCCUCUGUUUUUUCCUUUUCUUGUUUUUGAUUUGUGGGGUUUUCUAAUUUGUGACUAAGAGGUAGGGGAAAAUGAUAUAUCUUUAUUGGACGCUUUUCUUUUUGUCAUACAGAAAUAAAAAUAAAAACCUUUCAAUUCCUAAUUUCUUUUCAUAAUUUUAUUUGCUUUACAUCAGGAAUUCCUUCUUAGUAUUUUGAUCUAGAAAAAUUGUUCUUUCGAAAAACUUUGCAACUUUGCAUAGAACAGGUCAAAGCCUAUAUAAAUUUUCAGAAAACUAAAAGAAAAUUCCUUUUUUUGGAAAAUACACGAUCUGUAUUUGGAUCAUAUCUUAAUCUGUUAGUUUAUCUCCAGUCUCUCUAUUUCUCUUAAGCUCUUUUUGAAACACAUAUCAAAAAUACAAAAUUACACACAUUUAAAUCUCACAACUUUUGACAAAGGACCCACUAAUUUAGUGAUUUGAAGUAUUUACUCCUUCAGAUAAAGUCUUGAAUUCAAGUACUAGCAUUCAUAUAGUGCAUGUGAGUUUAGUAUAUUAUCCCUUUCUCAAUAAAAAAGGUCUUAAAUAAAAUAAAAAUUUCUCACAACUUUUGGGACGCUUCUUUAUGUAUUGGCAUAAUUUCACCUAACUAAUCUGAAACGCUUGGAGGGGGGAAAAAAAACACCUCAAAAAAUGUUGGGGGGGGAAAGUGCACAAUAUAUUUCACAAAUAAUUCUUAAUCUGCAGCAUAUUGCUAACAAAUUCCGUACAUCUUAAAUUACAUUUAUCACUGCUUCUUCUGAUAUUUUCAAUGAUUGGAACAGAGAUCAAAAAAUUAAAAGACAAAAAUUAUAUAUUAAAAAAGAAUACCACCAAAAUGAGAGGAGAGGAUUUAUCUUCAACCCAUCCAUGCAUUUUCCAAUUGCGGGGGCACAUGAAACCCUGGUUGAUCAUUUAGGCUGUAACCAUAUCAUCUUCCCCUCUCUGUGCUGCCGCAUCUGCCAGUUUUUUCCAUGUCAACUCCCGCUGUUCUUCCACCUCUCUGGACCUGGCCUCUCUCUCCGCAAGCUGCCUCUGGCACUCUUCAAACAAGUCAGCAUCCAUUUCCAAAAACAUUUUUCGAACAUUGACGGUCAGCCCAUGAACUGCUUGGUUCCAGUGACUUUGGAUAUUCCUCUCCAAUGCCUCAAAAAUAAUUGGUAGAGUGACAUUCCGGUUCUGAGCAAUUAAACCCACAAUGUGCUCAUUAUUCCACAGAAAGAGUGCUCGUUCCGCAACCUGCAUUGCAAAUGUGACUAAGCAAAAUUUUCAAGAAAGGAUAUUCUUAGAGUAAAAUACAACUUUAGAAGUUUUGAUUUGGAGUCUGAUCCUCUCACCAAUUCAUUAAUGAUGAACAUUUGGAAACAUUAGUACAAAGUCCUAACAACAUUACUCUUACCAGAUCAACACAAGUUAUUGCAAAAUUAACAAACAUUACAUUCAUAUAGUCCUAACAACAUGUCCCUUCACCAAAUUAACACAAAUUACUCUUAUCAGAAAACUUGCUUCAAGCCAACAACAUUCAUAACACAAGACAGGAACCCAAUUAAAAAUUUCCAAUCUUUUACCUCCUUAAUUCUUUUCAUUGACAUUUGUAACUUGUUUAAUAGAAUACCAAAAUAUAGCCUCACGCGCAGCACUAAGCACAUGCAUAACAGCAAGCACAAAAGUUGACAAAAUUCCAAAAUAUAUAAUUCAUAAAAAUGAAAAGUGGAGCACUUUAGGUUCAAAUCGUUGCUGCAGUCUAGAAAAACUAGUUGCAUAAAUAUCAAUGGUAAAGGGAAAAAGAAAACCUACUGCUGAUGAUGCUAAAUAAGAAUAAGUCGGGCUGUUUCAUUGGAUCAUUACAUAUUGGUGCCAGGUUUAUUUAUAACAAUUCAUGCAUGGAUCAAUAUAGAACGUAUUUCACAGAUCAGGAAACUUAUCAGCAGAAAGCUAAAUAGGGAUGGACGGAAAUCACCAAAACAAUGUCAAACACAGCAAGCAUAUUGAAAGUUAGGUUAUCUAAGGUGAACCAUUCUAGGAUAUUUCCCACCUAGUUGUGUUUUUUCCCCCUAAGGUUGACACUGCAUGCUUUCAGUUAUCUUAUAAUGGUUCUUGAUGUGAUAAGUAUCUAACUACUUCACCCAUAUCAAGUUAUAUGGCAUCUAUUCCUACAGACAGAGUACAAGUUGAUCUCUCAUUCCAUCCACUUUAUCGCAGCCUAUCUGCUUAUUCAAUAGAAAACCAAAAUGUCAAAAACACUAGCAUUUUUAACGUACUACAUGGGCAUUUCUAAGAAAUUAGCAUAUCAAAGAUCUUUCCCCAUGGGAGAAACACGCAAGUAAACAUUCAUUUGGUCCCCACUAUAACAGAUUGGAACUCUCAUUAGCACAUUAUCUGCAACAAAAGGACUAGAAAUAAGUAAAUUUAUCAAACAAGGAUAAACAGAUUAAGGCUGCAGCCUCAUGCAGAAAUAGAAGAGUACUAGUUUCAGAAAGAUUUUGGAAACGGGUUACAAUAAAUGUUCUCUAUGCAUAAGCAAAUGCGAGAAUAUAACAUAAUAUGGCACCUUUCACAAACAGCAGCAGUUUCCAUUUGUGAAACAUGUCAUAUGAAGAAACAGCUCAAUCCAUCAAUAACAUGAAAACAUAAUAUAAGUACAAUGAAAGCAUAACAAAAUAAAAAAAAACUGUGAAUUCAGAAAAAGAAAAUGGAAAGGUGAAACUUCGGACCUAGCAGAAACAGAAAAAUGCCAGUAAGUUAUAUUCAUAAAAUAAACAGUGAAAACAAAUAUAUCAUUGGGAACCAUUUGUCUUAAACAAAUAAGUUAAAGAAUUAGUUUAAAGCUUCAGCAAAAUGAAGCAAACCCAAUAAAAUUUGCAAAGAUUCCCAAACCUGGAAAUGAGAGCUAUUGAGGCAGCGAGCAAUCUGUCUGAAAAGAGGAACCAUGCAACGCUGAAAUUCAGCAGCUUGUGUAGCCUCCAGAACUUCUUCAAGUUCUCCAAGGAAAAGAACUUCCUUCUGGCAAUUGGUCAGCGGCCAGUAUUUCAACAGACCCCUAACAACCGUAUCUGCCAAUUUGUAAUCCUUUUCAACAAAUUGGGUUAUGCAGUAGGACAGCUGCUGAUGAUAAACUGCAAUUGACUUCGGCUUAUGCAGCGGUAUAAGUGCCCGAACAAGAAAUAACUUAUGCUCCUCUUUCAUUGGUAGUGCAAACCCAUUAAUUAUGCUCCCAAGAAUCUCUAAAAGCUCAGCAAUGCCGCUGUGCCUCUCAGUCUCAUAAAUAAACCGAUAGAAUAUGUUAUUGAUGGCUUUCCUGAUGAAGGGUCGGUGCACCAUGAACUUCCCAUAUAUUCGGUGAAGAAUGUUUUUCAAGUACUCACGCUCACGCGGGUCCUCAGAGUCAAACAAAUCUAGUAGCUUCAACACAAACGAGUGAUCAAUAUAACGCUUGGCAACCUUGGUAUCAGUAUCAGAUGACACAAUGUACCUAAGAAGGAGCUCAUAAACCAACUGCAAAUGAGGCCAUGAUGGCUCCAAAUAAAGCUCCUCCUCUUCAGGAUCGGCAUUCUCUUGGCCCGUGUUUUCAUGAGACGCAGGGGGCAAGCAACGAAAUAUAUUAACAGAAACCAUUUUGAUCAUCUCCUCUUGACAUGUCUCGGUGAUCUUACCCGACCCAGAUUGUAUGAAAUCAACCAAUUCCAAAAGGGUUUGACGCUUAAUUUCCUUUUCUCUAGGGGUCUUAAGGGUAUCAGAGAAAUCAAAUUGAAAGCAACAAACCUGCAAUUUGCGAAGAAACAGGGUCUGGCGUUCGGAGACGGGAGCGUCACGGAAGAACGGGAGAGGCUCGAUGGUGCCCGAAGGCGGUAACGCCGUUAUCCCCGGAGCCCCACCCGAAUUGGGACCUGAAGCAGCCGGCCCGGCCCGGGACGCGUGGUUUACGACCACAUUCGCGACUGCCCCGGAAUUUCGGGUACCCGGCGGGCCGUACCCGUAGGACGAAGGAUCAUGAGAAUCGGACUUGGAGGGCUUCUUGUUUCCCUUGAUGAUCUUCUUGAACAUAAUUUCCCAAUUUUCCCAAUGCAGCAACGAGUCCUAAACCCUAGAAUUGGGGGUGGGGAUCGGAUUGGAAUCAAAACGAGCUCGGCGAUGUUGAAAAAAAAACGAUUGGCGAUCAGAUUCAGCAUGCAUGGAACAACAACCCCAGAUUCUCAAUCAAUCAAUCAAUCCCUGCAACUCUUAUUCAAUUUGUGAUUUCUGCGUCGGAAGACGAAACUGAAACUGAAAAGGGGCGUGGGGAAGCGAAGAAAUGUACCGUCUUUGGAGUUUCGAAUCGGAGAGAGAUGUGGGUGGUGGUUGGUGGAUCCGAAAUGAAAGUCAUCUGAGUCGGAUCGCCGGAAUGCCGGCGACUUGAUCGGACGGUGGUCGUUCCGGCGAUCAACCCGAUGAGAGAGAAAGCGAGGGAGAGAGAGAAAGAGAGAGAGUGUACGUAUGUGUGUGUAUGGAAGUGGAGGGCGGAUAAUUAAGGAAAAUGAGAAAAUUAAAAAACCAAGAAAAGUUUAAAACAGCAAAAAUGGGAAUGAUUGCAAAAACGCCCUUUAUAAAUAAUUAAAAAAAACACACUGACACUUGUUUAUUUAAGGAAUAAUUUGUAUUUAUUAGUUUUUUUUUUGUUGGGAAUUAGUUUAACAAAAAAAAAUUAGUUUAGUUUAGUUUUUUAGGUUUUCGGUUAUUUCGCACGUGGCGCAUGAGUGAAGGAACUGAUAAAUCUGAAAAUAUGAGCCGUGUUUGUUUUUUUUAAUUUAAAUUUAAAUUUUUGGUAUUAAAAUCUGAGAUGUGUGUGUUGUUUUUCAGGUUGGGGGGAUCUUACCAUGUUUAUGUUUCCUUAACCUUGGAUGGAAGUUUGGGUUGGAUCCUUGUAGGUGUUGGUGGGCCCCCACUGUUUCGAGGAUAAUGCUGAGGGCAAAAAAUAGUAAAGUUCCUAUUUUUAGGUUGGUUCUAAUUUUGUGUAAUUUGCUGGGUGGUAUCCAAAAUAGAAAAAAAAAAAAAAAAAAAAAAAAGCCAAGCAUCUCCAAAUUUUAUUGUUAUCUUUUGUAUUGGAUAUAUUAUAUUAUCCAUAGGGAAAUCCAAUUAGCAUAAUUUUUUUCCUUAUGCGAAAUAUAACGAAGGUAUUUAGAUCAAAUUGAAUAUACUUAAAUUUUUGUAGAUUCUUUAAAAAGUUCGAAUUGAAUACUUUAGAUUUGUAAAUUUCUUUGAAAUUCAUUAAAAUCACAAUUAAAUCCUCCUUAGGUGGGUGGCCUCCAUUUCUCUCCUCAUCCCCUUCCUUCCCCUCCUUAUCCUAGACCUUUCCAUGCCCUCUCCACUUUUGAUCCUCGCUCAUCGCCUUUAAUGCUUCCAUCUUAACUGAGUUUGGUGGUUAUUUGGCUAUAUCAACAACAACGUGGUAGUAGAUCAAGUUUUAUUUUACUUGUUUUGUGUUGUAGUUUUUUGAGUUGUAAUAAGUGUAUUAACUCUUUCUGAGUUUGUUGCAUGUUUUCUAGUCUCUACUAGUAUUUUUCACUUGUGAGAGUUAAAGGGUUGCAGUUUUAGUUCAAAUUUGGUGCAAUGAGAUAUAUGUCUGGUUUUUCCAAGCUUAUGGCUUUUUUGAUGGAAUUUCUUAGGUCGUGUGUGGCUAUGAGUGGAGGUACAACUUGUGCACUUGUUAUUGAGAUGGACUCCUCCGUAUUUGGAUUAAUCCUUUGUAUUAACCUUAUGAGGUUAUUUAUUUUGUCUUUGUGACUCACAACCUUUCGACCUGAAUUAUGAAUACAAUUUAUCGCCUUUCUCUCAAAAAGAUCCUAAUAUCAUUACUUCUUAUGUGGCUCACUAGGAUGAAAACACAUGUUAUCUUAACCUAUUUAAACAAUUAACCAAAUAUCUUCCUAACCAAAUACCAAACUCUCCCAUUUUCAUAUCAUUGGCCCACAUAAAAAAGUAAGGAUAUCGUGGUCCUAAAUACGACCCAAGUAUUUUCACCCCAAACAUACUUUAAAAAUUCAAUCCAUUAUGAAUCACGAAUUUUUUAAGCAAUGACAUGAAUGGCACAGUUUUGAGUUGAAUUGUAGGCAAGAAAGAAAUUGAUUUUUUUUUCAAUGAAAUGAUUAAACCAAAAGAGUUGUUUGAUUAGAUAAACACCAUCCACGUCAAGGUCAUAAACACACAACCAGAAAUUAACGCUGCUAUGAUUGUUUCAAUUAUAGGACUUGACUUAGUGAUUGAAGGGCAGGUUUUAUUUUUUUAUUAAUCAUAUUUUGGGACAGGAUUAUAUUUGCUUUAAAUUUAUAAUCCGCAAUAAAACUCCUCAUUUUGUCAAAGUGCAUGGGAAAGGAAUUUUAGUACUAAAGUGGACCCAAAUUUGACAAAAACUGAUUGGAUGCGACUUUCAAGUCUUUAAUUUAUUGAGAGUAGAUAAGAUAAUUGUAAUAAGUCAAAUUUCUCACCCAAUUAUGUGAAGCUUUGGUCAUUAGCAUAAUUUUUUUUUUCUUUUCUUUUGAAUACAAGCGAUAGUUUAAACUAUAAGUCAAUGUCAUUUUUCACUGAAUUAGACAUCGUUGGCUAAUAUUCUUUAUCUUUGUGCGAGAAUCAAUUGGUUAGAAACAACCACUUUAGUUGGAUAUAUUUAUCUAAUAAAUUGGUUGGUUAAAGGCUAAACAAGCUAAGAAGAUUCUUAAUUUAGUACUUUAGUAGGGAUUUCCUAGAUAUUCCUUGUUUUGGAAAUGCAUUAUUAAUUAAACUUCAAAUUUAAGGUACACAAAAGGAAGCAUACAACAAAAAUUAGAAUUUUUUUUUGGUUGAAACGAUAGGAUUUUAUUUAGGAGAUGGAGUAAUCAUUACAAAGAAUUGACUAGGCCCUAGGAGAUUAGGCGAGCAUCUCUACACAUAAGAGUUCGGUAAUCAAACUACCCGAUAACCUACCCUCUUCCCGCAUAGUGAUCAGAGAGAACAGAGCGGCCCCCUUCUCUGGGUCUCCUUAGAAGUCCUUAGCCAAAAAAAUUGGAAUUUUAGUUUGAUUAUAAAGGCCAACCACCUCAACCAUGAAUUAGAACCUUUUCGUCUCAGCAGAAUCUGGAAAAAGGGAAAAUCCAAGAUGAUGCAAAUGUAAUCGUAUAUAGAUGUGAAACCAAACACAUCGUCCAGAGCCAGACUGAAAUCAUGUAUUGAAGUUGGUUUUUCAUUUUGGGUUGUGGGCUAGGGCCAGGAAAAUUCUUUUGUGAGCUUUUAUUUAAUUUUGGGCCUCGGUGCACCAAAAAAGAAAGAAAAAGAAAGUGUUUAGGCUUGAGGAUUUGUGGUUAAUCUUGGCCAAUUAUGCAUCUAAUGAUAAUCCUCUUUUGUCCCAAAAAAAUCCAGCACUGAUUAUUGUAUUCACAAACUCUAUAUAUGCAUGGUCAUUUCGCCUUUUUAAUUUUGUUUUUUCUGUCGGGUUCAAAUAUUUAAUGUUGACUCACGUGUUUCCUUAACACAACCACCACUCCACCAAUGCACCCAGACCCAGUGACCAAUAUCUGAUCUAGUGAUAUGUAGUGGCAAUAUAUCUGUAUAUAUAUUAUGCACAUGUUCAUAAAUCAUGCACAAAGUGUUAAGACUUUAGAGAGAUUGAUAGAUGGUCCACUACUAUCGGUGUUAGAUUUAGCAUAAAAUGCAUCGAUGUUAUUAGUAGUGAAGUUACUCGAUAUACAUUGUAUUUUAUUUAGUUAAGCUUUCGAUAUAGUAUUCUUGCAUUUUUCAACACAAACUUAUACUUUGAAAUACUAAAAACAUGUUAACUACUAUUUUCAUAUCAUUUGAAAAAAAAAAAGAAAAAGGAUGAAGAAUAGUUUUGGGCAAGGUCCAUGUAGCUAGUAGAUUUUUGAGCUAAGAAGAGAAAGCUGAUCCUGAGAGAACUGCUUUGUCUAUUUUGUAAGAGGGCCAAGGUAGAUUUUUACUCACUCAUCUAUGGAUUGAGGCAGCUCAUUAUAGCAUUGCACAGAGUUGAAGAAGAGAAAAUCCCUUUCUUGUUAAAAGUGGUAAAAUUUCAUGCAUAGAUGGGAAAUGGACAUUUUACCUACCGGAGACAUGUGAUUAGGCAAAUUAAUUGAUGGUAUUAUAAUUAGGUUAAAUUGACAGUUUGAGGUAAUAAGUAGGUACGCAAAUAUGAAUUAAUUUAGUUGACGAAGACAAUGUACCCUGCUCCGAGUUUGAAUAAGUAGGGUUACAUUGAAAGUUUGGAUGAAGAGUUCCCAAAAACAAAAAGAGUAUAAUUAAAGAACUGUUCACAAAGACGCAAGCUGGUGCUGUGGGGAUAACUCAUAUGACAGAAAGCAAUGAGAUUGUGAGUUGUUUUCUUGUCUUAUGUAUGAUUGGUGCUCUGUGGGGUUACAAAUUAAGAACUUGAGGCACCGAAAAGUUGCCCCAAAAAUAUUGAUGGUUUGAUAUUAAGCACAGUGGGAAUGAAUGGUGGGCACAACUUUUGUUUUCAUACAAAACCGAGGCAAGGAAUUCAAAGCACACCGCCUAAAAGUGUCUCCAAGCAUAAUGGCGAAAGCUCCUUUGUCCCUUUCCUCCUUCCUCCAAAAUACCCUACUUUUCCCAAAACGUCAAAAAGGUAUAAUUGCACGCUUACAAGUUACGUGUCCUAUUGUGUGCUUCUGUGUGGCAUAUUUCACAGGCCGAAUUUUGAAAAUUAUUUUUUCUAUCACAACUGGUUAUGUACAACUAUGUGUUUAUUUAUGCUCGCAUCACAUAAACGACAUACUGAUGAAUGACAACAACCUACAGAAAAAGAGCACUAUUGCUGCCAUUAAUUAAUGAGUGGCAGCUGGGAAUUUUUGAUCCUACUUGAACCAAGAAAGAGAGCAAAUUGGAGGUUUCUGCAAAUAUUUGAAGAGACUUGUGAGGCUGGUGGAAUAAGAGAACAAGUUGGGCAAAUGUUGUUAUAGCUAAAGGUUGCAAGUGCCUGAAGUUAGCUUAACUAAGAGACAAACUAGAGUUGUAGUUUGGUCCAGCCAAACCUAGAACUGGGCAAUCUAUUGCUUCUAUGCAGUGGGUUUCGCUCACAAGAGGCCAAGGAGGAAAUGGACAAGAGGAAUUCAGAUUCUGUCAUACAACUGGCAAAAUGGGUCAAGGCCAUAAUGGCAUAGUCAACAAUACUUAAUCUUUUGGGAUUUAUUUAGCUUUUGGAAAAAGAAACAAAUUUACUGAAAACAUUAUCAAAAUAGGAGGGAGACUAGCUAUAUCAUUUUUAAGUGACAUGUUCUAAAUUGCUAUACAAAAGCACUUUAAAAAGAAAACCAUUUUAAUUGCUUUUUGGAAAAGAAAAGUACAAGCACCCUAUUGAAAAACCAUCCCUAUAGUUUAUUUGCUUCUAAUACUAUAACUAAAUUCUAAUUAAGAAAAUAUAUUAAUGAUCUGAAUUACAAUGUUUGAAGAGAGAGAGAUCAUGUUUUUUUCCUUUGUAAAUUAUUUCCAUAGAAAAUUACAAGAAGAUGCUGAGCAAUUAAUUAGCCACCUCAUUGAUUUUCCCCUGCCCUAUUUUUCAAAUCCAAGUUGGUCUCUGAACCUUGUGGUGCUGCAGAGGAGGUUGAACUUGGAGCAGCAGCAGUAGCAGCAACAGCUGCUUUGGCCUCUAUUUCUGUCAAAGGCACCAUGCCACUUGAAGCAGCUACAUCAGAUUCAGCUGCCUCAGCUGCCUCUCUGAACUUCUUGUAAAUAUCACUUCUAUAAAAUUUCCUAGUCCUGAUCACCAAAAUAAAUGAAACAAGGCUCCCAAACAAAGCCACUGCAGCCAUUAUACAGAAAGCCAAUCUGUAACAAGGCACUCCUUCACAAGUCAAGUCCUCACCUGCUUUCCUAACCUUACCCAAAGCUUUCAGCUGCUUCAAGGCCUCUGCAUCAUAUAAAUUACCAGCCACUUUCACAUUCAGAAGGUAAGCCCCAAUAGGGCUAGCAGCACCACCAACAUUGAUCAAAGUGGCAUAGUAUUUGAGGCCAAAGAUUUCUGAAAUGAUGGCAAAAAUCAAUGGCCAUUGUGCCCCAAAACAGAACCCAAUAAUCACAGAAGCAACGUAGAGAGAGUUGGGGACGCCAAAUGCGAUUAGAAGAUGGCCAACGCAUGAUAAAAGAAGCACAAGAGUGAGCAAGAGGGGACGAGGGAACUUGUACUUUUUCAAAAGGACUUCUGAAGAGAAGCCAGAGGUAACUCUUCCAAGGUAAUUCCAGAUGCUUACCAGAGAUAUAAAAGUGCUUAUGCUGUGAGUUGGGUAGCCUAAUGAGCCCCCAAUCUGACCCAAGUUGUCGAUGGCGGUUAAUGUCCCACCGGCACCACAGGUUAUAGCAAUGAACAAGAUCAACAUGUCAAUGCUGAAAACUGCUUGCAGUAUGGUGUAGUCCUCACCUCUAUCUGGUGGCCUGAAAACAUUUUGCAAGCAAGAAUUUGGCUUCUGCUGGGUUUGUGGAGAUGGUGGUGCUGCAACAGGUGGCAGGGCUACUUGAACAGGAGGAGCUGGAUUCUCAGCUACUACUUUGAGCUGAGAUUGAUCAUUCAAUGCUCUCAUUUUGCUCUUCCAGAUUUUGAAUUCUUCGAAAAUAACAACGGCGAGCGGAAGAAAGAGUAACACAAGCACAACUGAAGCACUUCCAAUGUACUCAAUUCUUGAAAAUCUCAGUUUGUGUUGUAUGAUAAUUAAAAACAUGAUAAACCCAGCUAGGCCAAGAGUAACGUAGAGAAGAUUGUAGAAGACCCUGAGCUCAUUCGGUUGUCGAACAACCUUCAACAAUCGGAUUAUUGGAAGAAACACCAUUGAAACAGCAGCUGGAAGCCAACCAAUUAACAAGAUAAGAGCCUUUGAGUCGCGACCAUAGAAAGCCAAGAAGAGCUGUGUAAUAAUUGCACCACUUAGGCCAACAAGUCCCUUCAAGAGCCCCAAAACACUGCCUCUACUCUCCGGGAAAUUCUUAACACAACUCACUACAGCACCAGUGUUUGAAAAUGUCUGAGAAUUUGCACCUAUGCAAAUGUACAAACACAUCUGCCACACCCGGGGCUUCGACGUUCGACCAGUCACUGCUAGCCAUAUCAUGAAGUACCCGAAAAAGUUCAUGACUGCACCGAUUAACAGGACCACCCACGGAGCUGUGAACUCGUUGAUGAGGCCGGCUAUGACCCCAACAUUGCCCCCCAAGUCCUUGAAGAAGCUCAGCAAAUUGAUUGUUGUUUGGUCAUAGCCUAGAGAUUUUUUGAUGUCAUUGGAGUAGAGGGCAAACAUGUAUGUUGCUCCAGCCACUGACAAGAUCAACAUUGAAGCAAAAACCAUGAACCAUCUUCCAUGGACAACUUGCAAGCCAAAGCUCCUCAUCUCCUUGUGGCCUAAACCACCACCACCAAAACUGAACUCAGCCACCACCAUUUUUUUUUCUCUUCUUCUUCUUCAAAACAAAAGAAUUUCCGACACAGUUGGGGUCUUUAAUUAGUGGUUACUUAGUACCAUUUGUACACACACACACACAUAUAUAUACAUAUAUACAUGAACACGAGAGAUUUGGCUGAAAGGGAGGUGGGAAAUGAAUAAGGAGUUUCACAUUGACUGGAUAGUUGACCUGCCACUAGGAAUGGAUGAAAGGCUCUCUGUGAAGAGUAAAAGAUAAGGUGGAGACUUUGGGUUCAACCUGUCCAUCUUUUGUGACAUGUGUCUGCUGUUAGAAAAAGCACUUCUUGCACAAACGAACCAAAUACAUACACAAAUUGGAUGUGGAUGAUUAUUUUAUUAGUUGAUCCAAUUAAAGAACAUGCGAAUUGGAUGACUGAUUUAGGAGUUUUGGUGGUUACAUCACACCCAUUGUGAACAGAAUCAUAUGAUUAGCACGAGCAAGGAAAAUCAGAGGUGAAUAUAUUCUUUUCACUGUCAGUCAAAAUUCAAUAUUAGACAAACUUACUUCGCUUUGUCCUGUUCUCUUCCAGAUUCCCAACUCCAGAUCCAGGCCCCCAAAAAAUCUUCAAAACAAAUUAAUUUAGCAUCUUGGAAGAGUGACAUGUCGGUAGAAUAAUAUUAGGGACAGUUAACGACGUGAUUAUAGGGCAAUUAAGUGAAUUUUACAAUGUAUCAACGACUGACAACAAAACAUAUUUACUUAUUUAUCCUCCUCAUUAUGUAUAUUUGCUUCUAGAUGGUUUGGACCUGACCCUUCUAUCUCAAUCUGAUGCACUUAGGUGGAAGUCGUAAAAGCAAAGAUCAGAAUCAGCCCAAGCAAGGGCCUUUCAGAACCACUUGGAGAAUGAAAUGAAUCAACCAUUCCCCAAAUCAGUUUCCAGGUGCAUGAAUAAUGUAUUUAUCACUUGUGGUCCAGAGUUUUGCCUUAGAAACUCAUUGUGCGCAUAAACUUUCCAAACCCAAAAAGAAAGAAAGCGCAAAUUCAUGGACCCUCCUGAAUUUUCUGAUGGCCAAGGAAGCAAUUGGCUUUGCCUAAUGGUGACCUCACUAACUGCAUCAUACCUUUAAAGAGCAAAGACUUGGGUAAAAAAUGGAAGCCCGUCUUUCAGGAAAAUGACAAGAUAACCAUGGCAAUAUGGCAUGUGAUUUGGCUCUAUCUUAUGUUCCAAAGCUUGUCUGUUACCAGCUUUGGAUAAGGGAAAUGAGAUAUUAUUUGAGUGGGUUGAUGAUUUAGUUACACAAUCUUAUAAUUGAUAUGAUACGAAUCAAAACACGCAAGUUGAUUCGGAUUAACAAUUGCUUAAUAUAAAACUAAAAAAAUAGCGUGAUAGGUGCUAACACAAAUGCUAAAUGAAUUGUGUUAACAUCAAAUAAACAUGUAUCAUGUGAAUCUUUAAUUAUUAAACCGAUGAAUUUUUAUUAUUAUUAUUAUUAUUUUCUUCUGUUAGUUUGAAUUAGUUUGGGUAUAAGAUGCAUAUUAUUAAACUUCAAAAUUAGGGUUGAUUAGUACUAGACCAGUAGGAGAAAACCCCAAAAGAACACGAAUCAAACACAGUUCGAGUCAAUCCAUGCAUGUAUUCAAAUGGACACGCAAAGCUGCGUGGUUGUUUUGUGAUCAAAUUCCAAAUGGAAUUUGAAUUGCAUUCGUAUAAUUUGACACUACAAUCACGUUAGACCACACAAUGAAUGUUUGGUUUUGUGUAUUCAAAGAUACCAUCACAUGUGAGUUAUUGGAGGAAGGUCGAUAACUUUCCUAGUCAACUACACGUGUCCAUUAGUGGGGAUUUAUGUCUUAGUUGAUUCACAAAGCCCAUGUGGCAAGGGCCAGCUGGGUUGGAAGUUUCAAGCCUUAUAGCCCAAGCAAAAAUAGAAUAACAUUUUCGAAAGGCCCAAGUGGAAAGUGCGGACUGGGUCGGGAAAGAAAGAGCUCAAUCCAGAACUAUUAAUAUAAAAAGUACUUACGCUCAUAAGCGUUUUUAAUGUUAUAUAUACAUAACAAAGGUACAAGUUUCACAACUUCUAUAUGGCGGACGGAUUUUAUGCAUGCCAAUUAGUUCUUCGUCUAGUGACAUUCAGUUUCUAUUUUGUUAGACGACAAAUUUUAAUAAAAUAAAUAAAACAAAGUUUAUUUAAAAUAUAUGUAACGUGGUCGGCAAUAACUUUUGUAUAUGUGCUCAAGCUAUCCAAGAAACAGUCUAACAAUUGGACGGCCAAGAAAUCUAGGUACGUAGUAUUAUAUUGGAUCACAUGAUAGCCAUGAUAUACAGAAUACUAGCUUUUCUUGUUUGUUGGAUUUUUUUUUUUUCAUUUUUUUAAAUAUUUUGAAGACUGACACAGGAAAGGCCUAAACGAUUAGUCAAAGGAGAGGUCACCUUUCUACAUAUAUAUAUAUAUGUGUGUUUUUUCUUUUAAAAAGCAUUACCAAUAGGCCGUCCCAAUUGUUAAUUAGACCCUUUCUUGGUUUGCCUUGGCGCAUUUACAGCAAAUUAAGGUGAAACAAUCCGCCCCAAGCCCAAGUAUAUUAUAUACAUUCAACAUUUAUCAUGAAGUAAUCUUCUAUUGUCAAGACAAGUGGUACCUGACAAACUCAGAAAAUGAAUCCGAAUCAUGCGUUCAAUUUAAUUUUUUAGAUUCAUAAUUUGACAAGAAAAUAUUCAUACAAUUAAUUACAAUUGAUAUACAUUCAACGGAACGCACGUAUCAAUGUGUUAAUACAUCCAAAGAUGCAGUUCAUGAACAAACAAAACAGUGGUUGCACAAACACUAUACAUAUACGUACGUACCCUCUUGCACAUAUAUGUCACUAAACCAUCCAUUUUAAAGAAGGAUGUUAUGGCAGUUACUGCCACCCACCAUGAGAUCCAGACCACAUUUCUGUCUUCUCUUGCCAAAGUUGCUUGAUUUGUCCGACUCAUCAUAUAUUCUUAUACAAUUAUCACCUACAUAUAUAUAUAUAUAGGUACAAAAUUUUCUCAUUCUAUAUACUUAAGAGUUUCAAUAUAUAUGCAUGGCCCAGUUGCUCCAGUCAAAGCCAACAUUAAAAGCCGGCCUUUUGUACUUUACACAAUUGUCUUUGCUGAGAUUCCUAGCUAGCUAGCUCUUCCUUCCUCUCACUUCUAUUACUAUCACCCCUUAACUUAUCCAACAACUUUAGUGCAUAGAGAGGGAAAGCAAUGGAGGAUGAUGCUAAGAAGUUGGAAGAAGGCCGUCUUCAUAACAAGGAUGACUUGAUCAGUGAGAGAGUGAAUACAACAUCUGAUCACAAUGGUCGUGGAGAUGCCAUUGACCAUGAUCAUGAGGAGAAGAACAAAGCAGCGGUGGCGGCCGCGCCUCUGGAGGCGGACCAAAUCAAAGGGGAGGAGCAACCAGUACUAGUGGUUAAGCAGAAAAGCAAGAGGGUUGCUACUUUGGAUGCAUUUAGAGGCCUCACCAUAGUGGUAUAUAUUCAUGAUCAACCGUUCCAUUUUCACAGUCUAACAACAUAACAUAUUAUACACAGUGACUUUUCUUAUGGUGUAUGAUUGCUUUGAUCUUGCUAAUUUGUACAUGCAUGCAUGCAUGCAUAUUGUGACAAGUAAGAGAUCAUGUGUAUAUGUGCAUGCAGGUGAUGAUAUUGGUAGAUGAUGCUGGAGGAGCAUACGCACGUAUUGACCAUUCACCAUGGAACGGAUGCACAUUGGCCGACUUUGUGAUGCCCUUCUUCCUCUUCAUUGUGGGGGUCGCCAUAGCCCUUGCUCUCAAGGUUUAAUACAUUAAUAUACACUUCUCCUUUCAAUGUUUCAAUGUUUUUAUAUGUUGGAUAUAUUAUGUAACGCACGACAUCUUAAUCGGUUAAUCCACAAGACAAUAAUCUUUCCCCAAAAUUUUGUGUGUAGGUUUCUAACUUUGUGUGCCAAUUUGAUCACUUUAUGAUAAAAUUUUGGUUUUGCAGAAAAUUCCCAAGAUCAAUGAUGCAAUCAAGAAGAUUAUUUUAAGGACAUUGAAGCUUAUGUUUUGGGGAAUCAUUUUGCAAGGUACGUAAUAGUCCUGUGUUAAGGAAGUAGCUUUCCUUGUCAAGAGGACAAUAAACUUUGCUUAAACAAUAACACAUUGACUUCGCUUAGCUAAGGAGAAUUAAUAAUGUGCCAAAUUCAAAUCUUCUUCCCUAAAAAUAUAUAUUGUUUGGCUCUGGUGUAUGAACUCUCGCUCUCCCAUGUAGUGCAGGAGGAUACUCCCAUGCGCCGGCUGAUCUCUCUUAUGGAGUUGACAUGAAACAAAUUCGAUGGUUUGGCAUCCUCCAGGUGUUUCCCCAAACCCUUUUUUCUUUUCUUUCACAUUGAUGAAACUCACAAGGGCUCACCUGACAUUGUUUUUCUUUCUUGGAUUGUAUGUGUUGGUAAAUGGUAAACAGAGAAUAGCAUUGGUUUACUUUGUUGUUGCUCUAAUAGAGACACUCACCACCAAGUUUAGACCAACUGUCCUUGAGCCUGGCCACCUCUCUAUUUUCACUGCAUAUAAAUGGCAGUGGUAAGUAAACAGACUAAGGUCUUGAAUUUCACUAUCACAUAAGCAAAGUUUAGCAAAUUUAUCCCAGUUUGAAUUUUGUAACUUUGUUCAAUGUGGAUAUCUAGUAUUGAUUUAAAGUACCAUUCUGCAGGAUUGGAGGGUUCCUCGCGUUCCUCAUCUACAUGAUCACAACAUUUUCAUUAUAUGUUCCAGAUUGGAGUUUCGUGGUAGACAACGAUCAUAGAUCGAAAAAAUACUUGGUAUGUAUGUUUGUUUGUUUAAUGACUAAAUGUAGGAAGUUUUCACUUCACCAUGCCUUAAUUUGUUUUCUGCUUUUUUCAGGUUAAGUGUGGGAUGAGAGGACAUCUAGGACCUGCUUGCAAUGCAGUUGGAUAUGUGGAUCGACAGGUCUGGGGCAUAAACCAUCUCUACACACAACCUGUUUGGAGACGCUUGAAGGUUUUAGCUCUUAAUAGCUAUAUAUGUUUGAUGCAGUUGUAUAAUCAGAAAAACUAUUUGUACCCAUCUCUGCAUUACAUUAGCUUUACUCAUAUUUCAAUUGUCGUGCCUUUAAUGAGCGGGAAAAAAAAAACUGAGAGGGAGAAUAAUUGUUAAGCUUUUGUUGUUAUUUUUGUGACAAUUUUGUAGGCCUGCACUCUUAGUUCUCCGAGUGACGGUCCUCUUCGAGAGGGAGCUCCGAGUUGGUGCAGAGGUCCAUUUGAACCAGAGGGCUUGCUGAGGUAUGUUAAUUACAUAAUUAUAAGGAACAAAGAUAAAACGUUAAUCACUGUGCUAGAGACAUGGAUUUAUUUGGUUCUUCUUCUUUCUCAGUUCCAUUUCAGCUAUCCUUAGCGGCACCAUUGGCAUCCAUUAUGGCCACGUUUUGAUCCAUUUCAAGGUUACCCAUCUCUCUAAACUCACAGAUUAGUGCACUUUUUAGUUAUAUUUGGAAAUUCAUUUAGGAUGGUGAAGUUGGAUUCUCAUGCAUGCAGGGUCACUCUGAGAGGCUCAAACAAUGGGUUUCAAUGGGGUUUAUCUUGAUUGUCAUAGCCAUCAUUCUACAUUUCACAGAUGGUGAUCUUCCUUGACCUUUUUGUGCCUAGUUCUUGGCUAUCUUCAUCUGCCUCAGAUAAUAAAUCUUGAAGCAAUCUAUGUUCCAAAAUUAAACUUCUUAAUUUGUCAACUUGCUUGCAGCUAUUCCCAUCAAUAAGCAACUCUACAGCUUCAGCUACGUUUGUUUCACAGCUGGUGCAGCCGGACUGGUUUUUUCUGGAUUUUAUUUACUGGUAAACAAGUUAAAACCUAUCCGAGCUAUCGCUUCUAGUUCAAUUAAAGAUUAAUCCAGGGACAACUAAUGACUAUCAUCUACAUAAACAGAUUGAUGUUUGGGGCUACCGGACGCCGUUUUUGUUCCUAGAAUGGAUAGGAAUGAAUGCAAUGCUAGUGUUUGUCAUGGCAGCUCAGGGCAUCUUUGCAGCAUUUGUAAAUGGAUGGUAUUAUAAAUCUCCAGACAAUUCACUUGUAAGUAUAAUCAAUCCCCUUUAUCAAAAUCAUACUAAAUUUUCCAGCUUUGAUACAAUUUGUCUGGAAAUGUAAUCUAAUUUAGUGAAGGAACCAAACUGUUAACAGGUGCAUUGGAUCCAGGAACAUGUUUUCAUCAAUGUAUGGCACUCAGAGAGGCUGGGAACCCUCCUAUAUGUCAUAUUUGGUGAGAUCUUAUUCUGGGGAGUAGUUGCAGGCAUCUUGCACAAAUUCAGAAUAUACUGGAAGCUGUAGAAGCAGAAAAACAGAAGGCAACAAAGAUUAAAAGAGGACCCAGCAAUUGCUGUAUUUGUGACAUAUCUUACUUUUACCCUUCAUGGGUUCUUUUUCAGUGUGGAUUUCUUUUGCUGUUUUAAGAUUUUCUAGUGAAUAGAUUUUUCAUGGGUUCUUUUGUUUUAUUUGCCUAUUAUACAGAAAGUAGUGUAUAUGUACACAAUUAGUGUUUCAAUCUUUCUAGCUGAACCUAUCUGCACCAGUGAAAGUUGGGGACUUUGUGACCUUAGAGGUUAGAGCCACCUUCUUUACCAGCAAAGGCCUUUCACCUUUUCAUAAAGAGCAUCAGAAAAAAAAAUACUAGUAAAUUGAAAGAAACAACCACAAUAAUAAUGGCCACAACAAGACAACAUGCAUAAAAUAAAACUUACAAGAUCCAAUGGUACUAGGAACCCUACCCUGUCUGUCCUGACCAAGAUGUUCCAAAUUUGAUGGUGAAAUAUUUGAGUAAAAAGGGGUUAAAAUCAGCCUAGAAAGGGACAAGUAAGUAAUAGGGCAACCAUGAAAUAUUGGAGCUUAAAAAAAAGCAUCUAAAGGUAAAAAAUCAUAAAUAAAUAAAAGGCAAUCUCAAAGUUCAUGACAGAGACCUAAUGUUACCAGCAUUAACCUAAUUAAGAAAGAACAAUGAUGAUCUGGAUUCUGGACCGUUGAUAUUUGUAGCAACAAGAAAAUUACCUGUGUGAUGAUUGAAAGUCAUUUUCAAUCAGUACAGAUUAUUUGGCAUGUUGGCUUCACCUUUGAUUGACUUAAAGACCAUGUAGAGAAUAUGUUUCCUGUGAUGGAAUAUAAUCUGCCGACAAAAUAAAUCUACUUAUAAUUUGAUGUAAGCUGAUUUUUUUAUAUAUGCUGAGGCUAAAGACUUUGUCAGCUCUGAUUAAAAAGGAUGAAGACAGGACAGCCAAGAAAACCCAUUCAACCCUUCUGAAUAAAAAUAAAGAACAAUAUUCUUGGGCACUCAAACUUGAUCCAACUUGGGGUGCAUCAAAAGAAUCUGCUUUGAAUCUCAUUUUUUUUAAUAUCUGAUCAAACUUGAGAGAGAGAGUUUUGGCAAUGACAAAUAGUUAUUCUUUAAUUUCUAUUAUAAUUCAAAGUUCAGCCUACAGAGGUAUGUACAACAAAAAAAUAAAGAUAGAGCCGCCUGGAAAUGUUGAACUGCACAAUUUGAUCCAACUGACCAACCACAUCCAUCCAUCACAAGAACUUACUUCUUCAACUAUAAUAGCACAUGAAGGAAAUGGCACCAUAUCUACUUGUUUACAACAAUGUGCAAGUGCCAUGAGAGCUGCACUCUCCUUUUCCAUCUCACUACUGAUUUCUUCUCAUUCUUACUGUACAGAGUUAGUAUGGACAAGCUGUAAUAUAGGAUAUGCAACCUGCUUCGCCUUUUAACGGCAUAUAUCCCGUCAAUUACAUUUAGUGAUGUGGUAAUGGGGAGAAUUCUGCUGUACAGAACAACGCGGGCAUCCAAGAGGAACAACAUUUGCAUUUGUUAUCACUCCCAACCCAUCAACAUCUUCCAAACUUGUUCUUCAAUCUUGUUCCUCGGAACUGACAAGCCAUCCCCUUCAUCAAUCAAGACUCUAUAAACUUCCCAUUCCCUAUCUCCAAUUAGAUGCCGUCCAAUCUUAGCCUGAAAAAAACAAUCAGGAGAGCAGAAGUUACUUAGCCAGAUAGAGAAAGGUAAACAAAGAAACAAUUGGUGCAGAAAAUAAAUUCCAUUAAGACAGUUCAAGAUAGGAAAGCCUGUUUAGUAAGAACCAUAAACCUUUGUUCCAUUUGCUUAUACAUGUAACACAUGAAGAAAACCAAAUUGUAAAAGAGCAUACAAUUUUGUCUGCAAUAUUAAUGUCCUUGGAUCAUACAAAGGAAAGCCAAAAUAUGCCUGUUUGGAAGUACAAAGUGAAGAUCAGGAAGUACCGAAAAGACGCCAGUGUUCAGCAUCUUGAAAGCAAGGGUGAUAUCAUAAAAAACAAGAGGCCGGCCCUUGCCAGAUAAUUCCACAGGGUUUGCAACCAGCAGCUCUGUGUCUGGACCUCGGUUAACAAUAGCUACUCUGAGAGGACGAAGCAGUUCCAGCUGCAAGCGGGAUCUCAAUGCAUUCUGUUUGCUAGGGUCAACUAUCUUCUUUCCAUCAGUUUGCACGAUGAACAAGUCAAUCUCACAGUGUCUUCUUUGUUUUAUAGAGAAGCGGCCAUAAGAGAUCUGGUUCAUCAUAGCAUUCAGAUAUCAUCAUCAGAAAAUUAGAUAUUGUAACCCCAGAAGAUUCUGUUAACCCUCUUAAAAUUUGAUCAAAAUUUUCCAAUACCACAUGUAUGCAUGCCAACCAAGCAUGAAAUGCCGCAAACAAUAAGCAAAUAUGUCCCUUGGCUACUAAUAAUGCAAGAACUAACAACUCAGCCACAUGGAUACAUAAACUAAUCUUAACCCUCAAAAAAACCAAAGCAAGACUGAAACUUAUUCUUUGUAAUGGGCUUCCAUGUCAAGAAUGGAAAAGCAUUCUAGAGGAAAUUAUAACUAAAAAUCUUUUGAAUGCAUUUUAAAUCUUCCGGAAAGAAUGAUGAGAACGGCAAUUUUUCUUGAAAAAGAAAACAGCUCCUUUUCCUAUGAUGCAUAGAGUACAUGACAUCCACUGACCACUCUUGCUUUCUUACAAUAUUUAUUUGAUGCAAAUGUCACAUUACUUAUAUAUCUACCUGAAUAUUGUAAUCCUUUAGCGUUCUCAUUAUAUCAUAAAGAAGACCCUUGUGGUCUUUGCAAAUGAUUUGGACCAGCGUGUGACCAGGACUCAGCGUGUUGUCCAUAGUCACAGAAACACUUCUGGAGGUGAGUGAUCCACUUGGGAGUUCAGCGGGCAUUUCCAAAUCAAACAUGUCUUCGGUAAUUGCAGAUGGAAGAAAUGAAGACCCCUGCGAACAUGCAGUAAUCUCAGGACCAACCAUUUCAAUUUCACAACUUAUCAUGGCAUCUCCCGUGACUGCUUUUAAGUAGUCAGACACCUCCUCCUUUCUCUUAUUUGUAUGCAGAAGUUCCCUGAUAAAGAAACAAAUUCAGAGAUUAAGUCACGUAUAAAGAAGAAUAAGUUUCCUAAUAGAGCAACAUGAGAUGGUGCUGCUCCAAUCUGCAAGUGCUGAAAGCAUUGGAAUGUUUGAAUCAUUCACAUUUUGUAUUUUUUUUGUGCAAAAUAUAUGCCUAUCAAACUUGUACUCAUCUAUGUCUUGCAGUCAAUUAACUUGAAAUUCAAAUUGGGAUUGUUUGCAGCCGCAAGGACCCCAUAGAAAUUACAAGGAAAAAGAAAACAGGAAACCAGAAAAUCACCCAAUAUUAUAUUUAGGAGAAUAUAUCAAGAAAAUAGAACCUGGUGUCUGUGAUGAAAAACAGGUCCAUCACUUUCUCAUCUGGCGUGGUGGAUACCUUAACUUUCUUGAUGGUCAGCUCGAGUUCACAGAGAACCCCUGUCACAUCUGCACAAAAACCAAAAGUACGUAAGGCACCAAUUAAUAACCUUCAAUUUGAUGAUCUUUUAGAAAGAUUAGAAAUAAAAUGAAGAACAAAGCUCCUCAUUCAUAUCAACUACCAACAACUUAGAAAAUUUAAGAAACAUGCAGAUACAAAAACAGAAAUUUACCAUGUAAGAGCCCUCUUCGAUCAUAACAACAGAACUUGAGAAGGAACACAUCAGGAGGCUUUGGUGGCUGCAAUUCAGACCGGUAAAAGGAAAUCCCAGAAGCUGAGGAACAAGAAGGACAGGUCCCCACUAGCCUCUUCUUCAACAAACCCCAUCUUGUCUCUGGACUCCCAAUAACCCAAAACACUAUGUAGCACCAUUUCCCAUCCGUUGAUACAUCUUCAAAACACAAACAGAAAAAGAAAAAAAAAGCAAACACUUUCAGCUUCAAGUACCCAUUUUUCUGUUAGGUUCACAAAAUCUUAUCAAAACCCAAAACACCCGAAAUUUGUUUCACAAAUUCACUGGAAAAUCUCACUUACCCAUGUCUGGUUUAGCAAAAUAUAAGGCAAUUCUCACACACCCAUCACUUGGUUUUAAGAAAAUCUAAAUAAAUUUAAAUUUUUUUUUAGAAAGAGCCUAAUCAAAACGGUUUGGUUGCUGAGGAAAGCAGAGGAAAGGAAAAAGACACAAAAAUUGAAACUUUUAGCUCAACCAAAGCAUUCAAAUUUCUCAUCCUUUCUCUCUCUGCAUAUUCUCAGCAACAAAACAGAAGAUGAAUUAAUUGUAAUAAGCAUGCAAAAGCAGUAACAUCCCAUUUUAGCUGACCUCCUCUGACAAUGCUAAGACCAAAGCAGAGAAUGAUGCGGCACAAGUCACAACCCAAGCCAGUCUUGUCAGGACAAUUUAUUGUAAUCACACUUGGGUCUCCCUCUUUCUCUGCCUGCGUUAUGAUCACUACAUCAUCAUGUAGAAUACCCAUGUCUUCUUCUUCUUCUUCUUGCUCUUCUUCCUGCUUUAGUUGUUGAACAAGGAGAUGUGUAAUUUUUUGGAGCAAUAUUCUUUGCUUUUGUGAGAGGAGUUCACUUGUUUGUGAGCCUGUUGGUUUGAGCAAGGAGCACAGUGGAGACGCAUAAAAAGCAGAAGAUGAACAGAGAGAGAGUUGAGGCUUUUCCUCUCACUUCUCACCUUCUGCUUCACUUGUUCUUCUUGUUGUCGUUGUUUUCUUGUCUUUUUUAUUUUUUAUUUUUUAUCUCUCUCGUGUUUUUGUAGGUCUUGUGAAUCUCACCACGAUAUAUACUGGUUUCCGGAGGAGGGUACUCAUGGACGGGUUGGCGGGUUAGAAGCUCCACCCGUUGUUGCCCACAUCACAAAGUUCAUCUUUAACCUUUUUUUUAUUCCUUUAAAAAUAUGCUCAUAUUUAUUUAAAUUUUUUUAUUUUCUAUUCAGUCUAAAAUUAAUUACUUUGGUUAUUUGGGCUCUUUAUAUUGUCCAAAAAUUAUUGUAUUAUUAUUAUUAUUAUUAUUUUAGAUAUAUGAGAGGACUAAAUGUCCAAAUAAUUUUAAGAAAAAUAUUGCUAGGACAACUUCUAAGGUACUUACCAUAACUAUCUUCAACAAUAAGGAUAGGAAAACCCAACACAAUCAAACUCAAACUUAUUUUCACUUUACAGCAUUAUAAAACACAUGAAUUAAAGAUUUACUCUGUACAAUAUUAAGUCUAUUAGUUUAAUGGUAUUUCAUUUUCAUUUUAUUCGAAGAGGUACAUAUUAGAUUUCAAAUCUCAUAAAUUACAAUCGCUUCUUUACUUGUUGCAUAAAACUUAUACACACUAAUAAAAUAUAUGUAACUCAAAAGAAAUUUUUGAGAAUAAUAAAGAAAACAAAGAUAGUAGGGGCACUUAAGUAACAUUUGGACAAGUAAUUUCAAAGGAACAAAUUUUUUGAAUAUUUGGAAUGCACUCAAAUUUGCAUGCCAACUCAAAAGAUGAGGAAUUGUUUCUUUUUCUUUUUUCCAAGUUGGUGUUCUUAAACACCCUUUUAAAAAAAUUGGAAUUGCAUUGCCAACUUGGUGCCACUGCAGCUCAUCUGAAACGUAAGCAAUCAACAGCAAUAUGAGGUGGCAUCGACACGGUUCAAUAUCAUUGGACCUUGUUGAACUGAGACAGGUCGGCCUAGCCACCUGAAACUCCAUCAACUCAUUUACGGAGAACGUGGAACAAAUAUCAUCUCGCGUGGCGAUAAAUUGGCAUGCAAGUAACAGUGUAACACCAGCCACCGCUCGUGACUUGACUCGGGUAAAGUGCCGAUGCCACACGCGCACAUACGGAGCGUCAGCCGCCAUCACGUGCCUUAUUUUUUGGUUGAUGCGGUCCCCUCACGUGCUUAUCUUAGCGGAUGCUUCAAGAAAACUUCCUUUGUCAAUUCCCGCUAUCUUUCCCCGCUUGGUAAUUUUAAUCAGUUCCACCUAAUCAUCUUCGUUUUUAAAAAAAAGUGCUCUUUAUCCACCUCCAAGAAUAAGGAGUUCAUUUUUUCUGAGUAGAGAGAAAUGAUUCUUAGUAUCUUUUUAUAAUUAAAUAUUACUUUGUUUAAUGUUUAUUUUAAAAUAUUAAUUAAUAUUAACUAAUUUUUUUUAAUAGAGAUGGACUAUUAAAAAAAAUUCUUGUAUUUAUGACUCUCUAAAUUAAAGAAUAUGAUUAAAGUUUAAAAUUUAUAAACAGCUCCUAAAAUAUAUAUAUAUAUAUAUAUAUAUUUAACUAAAUUUUAACUAAAAAAUAAAUAGCAUAAUUAUAGAUGCUUUAAUUAGUGUUUCAUCUAUCAGAUGUAAUUUGCUUUAUUUAUUAGUUUUCUGAUUACCUUUUUGAGGAAAUUUUUGUAGCUUUUUAAUUAAUGAAGUUAGUAUCUUUCUAUUGCAUAUAGUGAUAAGACGAGAAUCCAAGUCUUGUUCUAGACUCAUAAAUUCCACAAAGUUGUUUGUGAUUAAUAAGUGUCCUAGUGAGUAUGAAGAAUUAUAGAGGGUUGUUUGAAAUGAGUAUCAUAAUAUGAAUCUAGCAAUCAACGAAUCAUGAUCAUCGAUACAUCCUUAAACAAUUGUAGUUCAAAAACCUAUUAAAGGAGAAAUAUGGAGUUAUUACUCUAACAUCUCCUGAGGUUUUCGACUUUUUCUUAAAACUCCUUAAGGUUUUAGAAAUUAUGCAAACACUCCCUGAAGUUUUAAAUUAUUUUCACAAAACUCUUUUUCAUUGAUUUUUCAUCUAAAGAUUGAUGAUUUUAUAAUAUAAAAAUUCUGCAAAUGACAAAGUUGGCUUUCGAGAUUAGAUUGCAUAUAUUUCAUUGUGGUUAAUUUUGUCAUUUGUAUAAAUUUAUAAAUAAAAUCAUCAUUUCUUAAAAGGAGUGUAAGAGUGAGUGAACCGUUGAAUUUAUAUCCAACGGUGAGUGACCACAAAUCUCUUGGACCCCUGUAGUCCAAGAGAUCCGAAGAUCAGCAGUUCAACCUGUUGAUCUUGGACCACAGGAGUCCAAGAGAUUGUGGUCACCCACCGUUGGAUAUUAAUCUAAUGGUUCAAAAAAGUUUCUUAAAAGCAUGGCUAACGUACUAAGCUCUCAUGGCUAACGUACUAAGCUCUCAUGUUUCACGUACUAAGCUCUCAUGUUUGAACAUGACUGUUAACAAAAGAGAGUUUUGUGAAACAAACUAAAACUUCAAUGAGUGUUUGUGUAAUUUUUUAGACCGGAUGAAUAUUUAUAAAAACACAAGAAACGUCAAAGAAUAUUAAUAUAAAUAACUUAUAUAUGGACCGCAUCACUGGGCACCAUCUAGUUAUUUAAAUAAGAAAAUAUGUAAAAGUUUGAAUUUUUUUUUAAUAAUGAAAAAAGAAAAAAUAUUUAAAUACCUUUUAAAUAAAAAGUGAACUUUACAUAGAAAUGCCUUGAACUUGGAAAAGAAAAUGGUGACACCUCCUGAGUAAAGGAGUGAGGUCAGGUGCACCAUGUCAUCAAUCUUGGUAGAUAAUAAUAAUUUGAUUAGUAAAUAAAUGGACGGCCAAGAUGGGCUUGAAUCUUUCUAAAGUGCUUGCGCAUUGAAAAUACCAAAAGAGCAUUGUGAAAAAUAUCCCUAUUCUAAUUGAGUUGCACAGAAAUUGCAUUGAUAUUGUAGUGCGCACAUGGUAGGUAUCGGAAUCUUUUUGCCAUAGAUUAUUUCUAAUUAAAUUUUCCCCUUGGUAGGUAGAGUAAUUUUAUCAAACCAACCCAACUCAAGGCAUCAUCUAUCUCUAAGGAUGAAUCAAAAAUUUAUUAACGAGUGGACUAACUAAAAUUAUUAGUUUAAAAUUUUAAUAAUAAUUUUUUUUUAUACUUAUAAUUAUUAUUGUCUUUCUAGAUAUAAAAAUACACAUUAAAUCAUGUAAACUAUGCUAGUUCCUCGAGUACAAAGUUAAAUGCUAAAUUCCCAUAAGCUUUACAAUAAAACAAAUACAAAUUAAAUGCAAUUAAAAAAUACAAAUUAUCAAAAUAAAAAUAUGUUCAGCAAUAUAAUUGAAAGUGUACAUGUUUUCAUGUAUAUUUUUAUUGAUGCCUUGCAAUUAAAUUCAUAAAGAAUUAGACUUUAAUAGGUCAAUAUAUACUUGACUAUAUUUAAAACAAGUGAAAUAUAUAAGUUUGAUUUAUUUUAUCCUCAAAAACCUAGUUCCACCCAAUCUCACACAAAUAAAUAAUCGUUAAUCGUAAAUUUAUGUGCGUCUAACACGACUGGUUUAAACGUUUUUCAAUCCAUUAAAAAGUAUGAAUUUGCUUGCAAGUAUGUUGGAAUGGUAGGAGAUGAGAAGAUAGUUAGUUUAGCUAUCAUUACCAACACAACACACUAAAUCCUGAAAAAGAUGGUUUUCUUACCCUACAAUCCAUUGAAUUAAGCUUUGAUAAACUAUAUAUCUAUAUCGACGUGAACAUGGUUGAAAAGACUCCCUAACUUAUACUCCCAUGGAGAUCCCAUGGAGAUAGAGAUCUUCUAGUACUCCAAAAAUAGCCCUGUGUGUCGCAGAUAAAGGCUACAAAGCCGACGGUGGCCAAGUAUCCCACGUUACAUGCCUCAAAUUGGACUAUCUUGCAUCGUACGUAGUCAAUACAACCAUCAUUAGAAAAAUAUUUUCUUACAAUAAUUAACUAGCGCGGGAGAUAAAGACUUAAAAGUCUUUAAUCACGUGAAAGAGACCAGUAGUUCUUCCCUUGGCCUUGGUUUUGGGUUUUACAAUAAAGUCAUUGUUGGUGUUGUUGAUAGCUAAUUGGCACUUGUCCUCUUUAGGAGAGGAGAUGGAGACAACCCAACCAGUGGCUCUGUGGGAGGUUGCUUUCUUCUGAGCAGUGAGCCCUCACUUUUGGCAUGUUCAUCUACUUAUGGCUCAGUGAUUCAUAGACUGCGUCGUGGUAUUUUCCUAUGUUGGCUAAGCAUAUCUAGGAUCUUGAACUUGAGAUAUCUCCCCCACCUAUGUGUUUAUGGCUAAGUGGAUCACAAUCAAGUGAUAUGAUUGCAUCCGUGACUAGUUUCCAUAACCUAGCGGCCGUUAACAUAGUUGAAACUGUCUAAAAUGAUUGGUAAUUUUUAGUUGUUGAUGCAUCAAUUGUGUAGGGUUAAUUAUAGUUGACUCCCAAGUUAUCUAUGCGAGCGUGGAUGAUUACUCCAAACACUGUUAAUUUCAAUUUAUAUAAAUUGAAAUCAUUAAAGAGUUGCAAUACGAAUCAAACACUCGUGUGUAUGUCUCUCAAUCGUUAAUGUAUGAAUCAUUUACAAUUACUUAAUAGUUGAUACAUGAGUCACCGUGUGCGCGUUAAUAAUUCAUAAAUUUAAUAGUUAAACAAGUAUAUUUGUAUUGGAUACAAGUUGUAAUAUAGAAUUAGCAGUGGGGCUUGUUGUUGUGGUAUGAACACACUUCACUUUCGGCAAUUUAAGUGGGGUACUGCUCAAUUUUGGAAAAUUGAGGAAGAUUCAAUGCUCCAAGUUAUGUUUAUUCGCAUAUUAGGGUUUAAUAUGUUAUAUUGGAUAUUGAUGACGGGAAAGAUCCUGGUUGAAAAAAUUGUCCAGUGGCCGGUUGCGUUGUCGGGAGGCAUGCGUGAGUCCUGACCUAACCAUGCAGGUCUCAGAUAAUGACUUGUACAAGUGUGUGCCCGGGGGUGGCUAGCUUUAGCCUCUGGCAUUCUAGUUUAGCCAUCCAAUUUUAUUAAUAGUAUGAGGAAGUAGUUUCCAUCAAAGACAUGACAUUAAAAAAUUUAAAUAAAAAAAAAGCAUUCUAGAUCAUAUAUUUAUUUUAAAUAAAAUCCAUGUCCAUUUUUGUUAGAGAUCAUAUCUGAUUGAAACUGCUUUAUAAGGAAGCAUUUCUGCAUAUACAAGUGAUUUUGCUAGAACCGUUGGAACAAGCAAUAUUGAAGUUCUUAUUAAAAAUUUAAGUGUUAUCUGACAAAGUACUUGGAAGUGUUUUCUGAAAACAUUUGUAUGAUUCAUAAGCACUUGUAAGUUUUUAUGUCAAACUUUUUUAAAAAUACUUUUCAUUAUCAGAAAGCACUUUUAACUCUUCUAAAAAUCAUUCCGAAUUUUUCCUAGUGUGUUUUUCAAUGUAACACAAAUUAAGCACAAACAUAUCACAUGAGUAUAAUUAGUGGUGUGGGAAAAUAAUGAAAAGCAAGUCGAGAGAGUUGAGUCAAAUUGUGGAUGUGAAGAGGUUAAGGCCUGACGUAAUCAAAGGGGUAGAAAACUAUAACUAGGAGAACUUUAAAGAUAGUGGGUGGAGGAGGAUUCCUUAAGAAGAAGAUGCAAGGAGAUGCUGUAGGGAGAGAAGAGAAUAAAAGAUUGGAGCGGCUGAGAGGACAUGGCACAAAACAAAACAAGUGGGCAUGGCUUUGUAUAGUGACAUAAUACUCUCUCUCCUUUUUUUUUUUUUUUUUUUUUUUUUAAGGAGAGAGGGUCGUAUUAGGUUGAAAAGCUAUGCUUUACUUCCUUGGUGUUACUACCUUAUUGGAGUUAUUGGCUAUAAAUAAUUCUGAAUCCGUUUGUUUUAUUUUCUUUUUGCAUUAGUGAAUUAUGCCAGUUGGUCAGGGGAGUGAGUCCGUUCCUUUGCACUCAAGUUCGAGUUUUUCUUCCCGUAAAUUAAAUCAAUUUAUCUAAACCGGCCAACUCAAGUUCAAGUCAAGACUGUUAAUUAGUUGGGAUCAGAAACCAAAUUUAAUCCAACCAAACUAAAAGAUGCUGAACUGAAACCUGACAUGUGAGUUACUUUUUUAAUUCAGAUUUUCUAUUUGGUCAGACUUGUUUUAAUUCAGAUUAACGUGCAUGCUCAACACAUUCGCACAAAUAAUUUAACAUUUGUUUUUUUGGUACAAACGAGAGCCAAGUGGGAGAUAAUAUAACUGUUUUAUGCAUUUCCUUGCUUAGGACAUCCUAUAUAGAAGGUCCAUAUCAUGAACAGUACUUUGCCUUGGUUAAGUUUCCUUAUUUUUUUAGGGUGAACUUGGUUAAGUUUCCUUAUUUUUUUAGGGUGAACUUGGUUAAGUUUCUUUGCACAUGCUAGAACAUGCAUCUUUCACAUGAUGCAUCAUUACCUGCUACUUCUCACACAUGGCUUUCUUCUUCCCUCUAUUUCUUCUGGUCAAAGCUCUUCAAUAAGUAAAUGACAUUCUUUUCCCUUCCCACAAGUAACCAAGUCAAGACUGACCUAAUCAAUGAAUAAACCCACCCCACAUUCAAAAUUCACCAUCAAGACUGGGCCAUAAAUCUUUGGUUUUCCUUGGCAGGCAAGCAAGUAAGAAAGAAUCACACCAAACCCAAGCAAAACCCUAAAGAAUUUUUAACAGCUGUGGCUAAACACUUGGGCUUCAACUGAACCAUCCAUGGAUCCCAUUGGCCAAUGCUUGACUGUCCCUUAAACUACUUUACAGCAAAGUCAUCUCCAUUUUCUAACACUCUCAGCUGC
rnacentral:lncRNA from 1 species